UUUUUUUUUUUUUUGUCUCAAAAUGAGUUGUAGAAUUGAAAUGUGAUUGACAGUAAAUAUUGCUGGUGGAUAUAUGUUCGGGGUACAUAUGUAUUCUCAUAAGGCUACAAAUAUUCUGAUCACUGAAAAUUUAAAAAGUAAAUAAAUAAAUCUUCUGUAGAUAAAAUGACUUGCUAAGAGAAUAGUUACCUUUUGGUCCAACUGGGCGCAUUUGAAAAGUUGAUUCCCACAUUGAAAAUACCACAAUAAAAAAAGUGUAUUAGGAUUGAGGAUGGGAAAUUAUUGAAUAUAUUGCUCUCACCUAAAGGUGAUAUCAUUAAACAUGACUAACCUUGGAGGGAAAAAUCCUUAAGGCUAAUGUGGCACAGCUCAUAAACAUUUUUGGUGAUAUUUUCUUUCUGAAGUUUCAUUCCAAGUGUUGCAGCACAGUCUAAAGCUUGCAAGUUGGUUGUGAAGCUCUGUUUCUGCAAACGAGAUGCAUAGCCUGCUAAUGCAUUACAGCAUGCUCUUUGGUCACUUACCCCAUCAUGACAACCUUUCGUAACAGGGCUCACAUCGGGGAAAACCAAUGGACAAACUGAAAAAGAAACCAAAAAUAGGCACGAGGAUUUAAAUGAAUUGAUAGCUCAUAGCAGGACUGGAUGUGAAAUCAAGUGGUUAGCAUCAUCCAUUCUGGUCAUAUUCGGAAAAGGAAGAAUUGAAUUCUUAUCAGAAUUAUGGUAUAAAAUAAAUUUCUAAGAAAAAACAUGAUAUACAUGUAUAGAUAGCUACAAAUGCAGCAUCUUUGCAGGUGAAAAUAUAUAUCAAAUGUUCAUCUAGACUCUUAAUACACAGAGUUAAUUAUAGUAGUCAACAUCUGAUUACUUUUGGCAGAGCUCAGUAAUGAAUAACAAUUGUCCGCUAGCACCUAGGCCUUUACCUGCGGAAUUUUAGUAAUGCAUCUUCCACCUGUAUAUCCUAUGUCAGACCUAUCCAUGAAAAUUUUACUUCCAAGAAUCCAUUGUAAGGCACAAAAAGUCAUUUUAGAAAAAAUUACUGGGUGGAUGAGUCAUAGGAGUAUAGGACUAAUUACAUGUAGCCUCUCAUAAUAUUGGACUGUGGAGGCCUAAGACAUGGCAACACUGAGCUAAUAUUAAAUCAACUGAAGAUUUUCUGAAAAGAUGUAAAAAAGGGGGAUCCGUCCUUAGACUAAACACAUAUGCUGACACUUUUUAAGCAAAAAGCAUAUGAGGAGAAAAUGUGGAAACUCCAAUACUUAGCUAUAAAUUAGACUCGCAUGCUGCAAUGUAAUGUAAGGAGUUAUGCUCAUUCGCAGGUCACCUUUGUUUAUCUUGCAAUUGGAUAGUCCUCUGAGGACCUUUUUUGCUUGAGAAGGAUUGUGUUUGUUUGCCAACCAUCGGAGUACAAUAUUUCUGCAAUCACCAUCCCUAGUUGACUGGUCAGUCACUGCAUGAUGUCCAUCAAUGUUCAUAAGAUCAUAAGCUUUUAAUGCAAGUUUUUUUGCAGCUUCUGAUAUAGCAUUCUGACAAACUUGCUCACAACAUUCAUUGACGAGAUCAAUCUUUUCACAGGAGCUGAUAAGGUUAGAUGUAUCCACUAUGCUCUCAAAUUCAUCAACAUCUUUGACCGGGCAAGAACCUUCUGUGAGGUUUGAUGCAUGAAUUGAGCAUAUCUGUUGCAAACUAUUGUUUGCGCCCUGACUCACUAAAAUUUGCUGAAAAUCUGAGAGGCAAUGUUUUGCAGAUGUUCCGUUCAAAGCAAGCUCUUUGCUAAAUUUACUUGAUUGACCAAUAAGGACUGUUAAAGUCGCUUCCACCUGUGGACAACAUACCACAUUAGCAAGAUAUGGUGCAAAUGUUGCAACACAAUCGAUGGACGCAUCACUCAUCAUGCUCUGAGCAGCACCGAAGUCUAGCAAACAUUGUCCUGCAAGACCAAAAAGGACUGAGUGUGCUACUGAUGAAGCAUAUACUGAGAGGGUGAAAAAAAAACAUACCUGAUAACUUUGGUACACUGCUAUUUGUAAAUGGUCCCAAUGGAGAAGGAGCUAACAGAGGAAGAAAUGGCUGAGGAGCUGCAGUAGGGGAGGUUACAGGCAAUAGAGGUUCAUUUCCAUUCAGUAUCGCAGGGCUCGCACUAUGCAAUGAAUUGCAACAGGAUCCGGAUAGGCCUAUGCACGCCAGUUUCAGGAAAAAAGUUACUUGUAUUGUUCAUUUACUAAAGAUGAAUAAACAUUAUGUAAAACAAGAGAAAGCAAAUGACACAGCAAUAUGAGGUCUCAUAAAUGUAUUACUGUAUUAGAAAUUGCCAUGAAAGAAUAAAAGAAGCAAUUGCUUAAUGUUGCAAGGUUGGAAAUGUCCAAAACAAUAAACCAGUAUCAGAGCUGGCAUGGAUGUAUGUGUGCUUAGAUACGGCCAAGGAACAAAUUAGUGGGAGAAAAGGGGCCAAAAAAUGGAAUCUAUGCUAGGAGCUUCACAUUCCAUACUUAACACUGGCUUCUCAUAAUAUGUAGUCACUGUUUAAUUUAUAGAACAUAGCCGUUCAGAUACAAUGAGCCCAGUGUGACACUCUUGAGUCUUGAGAUAUGAUAUGCAAGUCAAAUUCCAAAGCGAUCUAGAUACGUUAUGUAGUAUGUACAAAAUAAUAGAGAGAAACAAUGGCAUAGCAGAUUAGGUUCUUCGAGCAGCACAUUAUGAAGUAAAAGGCUACAACUUAUUAAGCCUCAAAGUGUACUCAUGAAUUAUUCAGUUGUUGUACAGAUGAUGGUUUUGUUCACGACAUUGCAUUUCUACCAAGAAAACAGUUCCUAACUAAUCUUCUCAAGGAAGGCUUCACCAAAGUAAUGCACAGAAACUGUAACCUACUAAAAUUAACACAAUUUUCUCCUAGGCCCUCCUUGAAGUCACAAAACAUACUAUUUGAGCAACACUGAUGCAAUGUAAUGCCAGCAUUGUAAACAAAAGCCAAUGAACUAAAAAGUCCUAUUCCAAAAGGGAUACAAUUUUAACUACAAAUAAAUACCCCCACAAAAGUGUAAAAAAAUAAUAAAUAAUAAAAUCUAAGCCCAACAAUGUGGAAAGUUCUGAACUUUCAAGAAAACCCAUCUACUAAACACCCAAAAGAGCACAGAUCAUACAUCAAAAAUGAAAACCCAAAAAGCAAAUUCAAGAUUUCAGAUAAAUUCAGACGCAAAUAACCAAAAAAAAGAUAAAACUUACAUAUAAGCACAAUGAGCAGAUUGAGAUAUACACACAGACUUUGCACCACCAAUUCUCUCAUGCCUGCUAAACAAAACCCCAAAAAUGUGUGCACAAUGAAAUUGUAUUUAUAUAUGAAAGAGUUGAGGAAGCUGAGAGAGAUAGAGAUGGUUUGAGUGGAAGCUUAGGAUUAGAAGUUGAAGUUAGAAAAAAGAGAGAGGAGGUGGGGUUUCAAGUAAUAAAGAAAGGAGAGUGAAGAGAGAAGAAGGGGAGUUGGGGUGCCAUGAAUAAGCAGGUAAGUGUGUGGGGUCAAGCAGCCAUCAGUAAUAGCUGUCUGAAAUCAAUACUCUUUACUACAUGAACCAUAAAUAUUUAAACACUUUUUUUGUUUCUUGGAUUUGUGAAUGAAAUGCAGCUUAAGUUGACUAUCUUGUGUUAUGGAGAAUUUUGAAAAUUUGAUGGUUGUGUGGCAUCGAGAGUGUUAAGCUGGGCUUAAUUUUGAUUCAUACGGGAUAUUUGACUAUCAAACGCAUAUUUUUGAAUGUUGUAAUGUGUAGUAUAUAUUAAUCAUGUACUCCCGUUUGAUUUUUUAUAUGCUUUGAUUCUAUUUUAUAAUUUUUUUUGAAUAGAAAUAUAUUUUAAAAAAAUUAUUCAGAAUUUUUUUAAAAAAAAUUCAUUGAUCGCAUAAUUAAAUAGUUUAUUUUUUAAAAUGAAUUUGUAUCAGUUUUAUUAAUAAAAAAAGAGAUUAAAUAAUUAAUAAAUCUUAAAUUACGUGUCUAAAAUCAGUAAUCUCAAUAUUGUCCACUUAUCCCUUUUGAAGUGUUUUGAUUUUUUACACGUAAUUUAAAAUGUAUAAUAAAAUUUAUUAGGAUUAUUAUUUUCUAGUAUUUAUAAUAAGUAUAUAAGCUUUUAUGUAUUGAAAGGCAAUUUUAUAAAUAAAAAUUAAGAUAUUCUUUGUUUUCUUAAUUUACGUGUAAAAAUUAAAGAAAAACUAUUUUAUAAUCAUUUCUAGUGUGUGCUUACGGAUGUGUCCAUUAUUUGAUGAAUUUUUAUUGAUUCGGAUUUAACAUGAUGAACUUUAUAUACAUAAAAAAUUUUAUUAAUCAAAAUUCUCCAAAUAAAUAAAAGAAUAUAAUUAUUUAUAUAUAACGUAAACACACUCAGAGAAGGAUCAUUGGCGCCUAAUAAAGAAAAUCAUGAAUUUGGUUACAAGAGUCAUGCGAUACCCGUUUUCCGCAGGUUGGCAUUAAAAUCCAUAGCUGCUUUUUCUUUCGAAAAAAAAGAAAAAUGAUUCUUGCUAACUAGUUAGUAGUUGGUACUUAUCCGAAGCCACACUCUCAUGUUACAUAACUUCACACAGGAGCCACAAAGGCACACAUCGCAUUAUGCGAACAAAUGAUCCCUACAAAUUCUAUGUUUGUCUAUUCUAAAGCCGCGCUUCGCGGCGAUAUGAAUUUUUUAUAAAUUUAGACAAAAAAUUGUUUUAUCUACUUUCCCGUCAAACAUAAUACUAAUAGAAAAUUUAUUAUUUAUUUAGAUAAAAAUUAAUUUGGGCCGCCCUCCCCUCAAACACAAUACUAAUAAAGAAUUUUUUUUAUAAAUUUUGAUACGAAAUAAUAUUAUAAUUGCAUAAAAGUUAUUUUGAGUCGUGUUCCCGUUAAACAUAUCAUUAAUUAAAAAUAUUAUAAUUAAUAUAAAAAUUUGUUUAAGUGGCCCUCUUGUCAAACACAAUAUUAAUAAAAAAAAAUUGUUGGACCCGCCUCCUAUCAAAGACAAUAUUAAUCAAUAAUUAUUAUAAUUAUAAUAAAAUUAAAUAUAAUAAUAUAGAUAAAAAUUAGUUUGAUCCGCUCACUUGUCGAACACAUUGCUAAUAACAAAACAUUAUAAUGUAGAUAUUAGUUUGUGUCGUCCCACCGUCAAACACAAUACUAAUAAAAAUUAUUAUAAUUAUGAUAAAGUUAAAGAUUAUAAUUGGAUAAAAAUUAUUUUAAGUUGUGGUCCCGUUUGAAUAAAAAAAAUAUUAUAACAUAGAUAAAAAUUAUUUCAGCAGCUUUCCUGUCAAACAUAAUACUAAUAGAAAAUUUAUUAUUAUUUAGAUAAAAAUUAAUUUGAGCCGCCAUCCCCUAAUAUACAAUAGUAAUCAAGAAUCAUUUAAAUUAUGAUAAAAUUAUAAUUAUAAUUGGAUAAAUAUAUCCAAUUUCAUAGAUUUUAGCUAUUAUAUUUUUCUUUAAGAUUUAUAUUUCUUAAUUGUUUAGAAUCAUCUCUCUUUUCUUUUAAGAUUCCUAUUUCUUCACUACUUAAAAUUUCAUAGAUUUUAGCUAUUAUAUUUUGGUUAAAAUUCCUAUUUCUUAACUACUUAGAAUUGUAUCUCUUUUACUAUUUUUUAGCUAUUAUACCUAUUUUCUCUCAAAAAAUUAGAAAUUUAAACGGAAAGUUUAGAGACUCCACGUAACCUCCCGCGUAUCCUCUCAAGAAUCAUUUACGUUAUGAUAAAAUUAUAAUCAUAAUUGGAUAAAUAUAUCCAUUUUAUAAAUUUUAGCUAUUAUAUUUUUCUUAAGAUUCCUAUUUUUUAAUUUAAGAUUUCUAUUUGUUAACUACUUAGAAUUUCACAAAUUUUACCUAUUAUAUUUUUGUUAAGAUUCCUAUUUGUUAAAUACUUAGAAUUAUAUCUCUUUUACGAUUACUAUUUUUAGGCUACUUUACAUAUUUUCUCUCAAAAAAAUUAGAAAAAUUGGAAAAAUUAACCAGAGAGUCUCCAGAGACGCGUUAAGAUUCCUACUUCUUAACUAUUUAGAAGUAUAUCUCUUUUACGAUUACUAUUUUUUAGCUACUUUACCUAUUUUCUCUCUAAGAAUUAGAAAAAUUAAACUGAGAGUUUCCCAGGACGCUAUUACCGAACUGCAUCCCCCUUUAUAUUUUCUAAGAUAUAUAAUUUGAAAAAAAAUUAAUCAAAUAAGAAUAUAAAUUUAUAACUUUUGAAAAUAAGAAUUUAAUUUUUCUAAAUCGUACUUUUCUAUAAUUUUUAGAUUAUAAUUUUAUUUUCUUAUUCAAAAUUUAAGAAAAUUAUUUUCCCACCUCUGGCCAGCAUCAUAUAUUGUGGUUAACUGCUUAUCUUUUCUUGUCCAAAGAAUUUAUGUAAUCAUGUUAUUCGGUUUUCUCCGAAACGACUAACAUGGAUCCGUCUUGCAAAAAGAAUCGUAUUAUUUUUUAUGAUUUCUAAAUUAAUAUGAAAAGGAAUUGUAUUAAUGUUAGAAUCUUUUUAAUAGAUUCUAGCGUAUUGCCCUUAGAAUUUGAUAAGAAAAUAAUUAUAUUAUCUUUAUAAUUCUUAAAUUUUAAUUUUUUGAAUUAUAAUUACAUUUUCUAUCCGAAAUUUAAGAAAAAUUAGAAGACUAAAUAGAACAAUUCUAGAGAUUAUUUGUUAGAUAUAUGUUUUGAAUUUUUUUGGUAAAAUAAGACUAUCGGUUUUAUAAUUUUGAAAAUAAGAAUUGUAUUUUUUAACCUGAUUUUUAGGUUGUAAUUUUAUUUUCAAUUUGAAAUUUAAUUAAGAAAAUUAUAAGACUAAAUUCAAUAAUUGUAGACACACCGAGUUAAUAAAUUUUAUGAUUCGGACAUAUCAUGUUCUCUAAUUUAUUAUUUGUGCCUACUAUUUAGACUGAUAAACACAGUUUUGAUUACGCACCUAGUAUUAGAUUAUUCUUCUGUAUAUCUUAUUGAAAGUAUGAAUUAUACAUAUUACCUUACAAAUCUUAACUAUAAAUUGUAUUUUAUCUUUUAUUGUUAGUUUGAAUAAAUAUAUUCCUAUUUCUUUUAGGAUUACCAAAUAGGGAAAGAAUUAUAUCAUAUUUAGAAUUCAAUAAGGAAUACUAAAUAAGAAAAGAAUUGUAUCAUCUUUAGAAUUCAAUAAGAAAAGAAUUAUAUCACUUUUGGAAUUCUUGAACCUGAUUUUUUGAAUUACAAUUAUAAUUUCUAUCCGAAAUUUAAAAAAAAUCAGAAGAGUGAAUCGAACAAUUCUAGAGACGCCCGCAUCCUCCUAUUUCUUUUAGGAUUACUAAAUAGGGAAAGAAUAUUUGGACUCUUAAACACAGUUGUGAUUACGGACCUAGUAUUAGAUUAUUCUUUUAUAUAUCUUAUCGAAAAUAAAAUUGGACAUAUUACCUUACAAAUUUUAAAUAUAAAUUGUAUUUUAUCUAUUAUUAUUAGUUUGAAUAAAUAUAAUCUUAUUUCUUUUAGGAUUACUAAAUAAGAAACGAAUUGUAUCAUAUUUAGUAUUCAAUAAGAAAUACUAAAUAAGAAAAGAAUUGUAUCAUCUUUAGAAUUCAAAAAGGAAUACUAAAUAAGAAAAGAAUUGUAUUAUCUUUGGAAUUCAAUAAGAAAAGAAUUAUAUCACUUUUGGAAUUCUUGAACCUGAUUUUUUGAAUUAUAAUUAUAAUUUCUAUCCGAAAUUUAAAAAAAUCAGAAGACUGGAUCAAACAAUUCUAGAGACGUCCGCGCGUUGCGGCGGCCUAUAAAAAUUAUAUUAAUGAUUCAAUAUUAAUAUUUAUAGAAUAAAAUAAUUUUGUAGUUGUCUAUAUAAACUAAUUAACGUUUCAAAAUUAAUAUUUGUAGGAUAAAAUAAAUUUUAUAUUAUAAAAAUCUUGAUGUAAUACCAAUACUAAUAUAUAAAAUUGUAAAAUUGGACUAUAAUUCAUGGUGAAAAAAUGAAAAUAAAGUUAUACAGGUGAUUAUAAACUAAUUAACGUUUCAAAAUUAAUAUUUGUNNNNNNNNNNNNNNNNNNNNNNNNNNNNNNNNNNNNNNNNNNNNNNNNNNNNNNNNNNUUCCAUANNNNNNNNNNNNNNNNNNNNNNNNNNNNNNNNNNNNNNNNNNNNNNNNNNNNNNNNNNNNNNNNNNNNNNNNNNNNNNNNNNNNNNNNNNNNNNNNNNNNNNNNNNNNNNNNNNNNNNNNNNNNNNNNNNNNNNNNNNNNNNNNNNNNNNNNNNNNNNNNNNNNNNNNNNNNNNNNNNNNNNNNNNNNNNNNNNNNNNNNNNNNNNNNNNNNNNNNNNNNNNNNNNNNNNNNNNNNNNNNNNNNNNNNNNNNNNNNNNNNNNNCUUGUGUGCUACUCUUUCCUAUAAUUAAAUAAUCUGAAACAAAAUUAGAUUAAAACUUUCAAAUUACUAUAUUCCGUAAAUAAUCCGAAACAAAAUCAGAUUCUGAUACUUGCUUCUAAUAUACCCGAAACUAAUAAAGGUAGUUUUAAUUUUUGAUAUUUUUCAUCCAAAAAUUCCAUAAAAUUUAAAAAAUAGAACGGAUCGAUGUGAGAGGCGCCAUCUACAGCCCCUCGCUUCUCCACCAUAUUUUCCUUUAUACAAAGUUAAUCAUAUAAUAAUUAACAACAACAAACAUGUCCGAUGAACAAAAUAAAUAUUAUAAAAGAAUAACCAACAAACAUACAUCAUUAAUAGUUAAUUUAUUGAUAUCAUCCAUCAAUAUCAUGUAAAGACUAUAUUCUUUUCUUUUGUUUGAAUUUGUCGGCUCCCACAUAGCGAUCUAUAACUACCUUUGCUUGCCACAAUCUUUAUUUUUUUAAUACUAUAUAAACAGCCUUCACUUAUCGUUGCAUAAAAACAGCACCACCGAGUUAGAAAUCAAGUAAGAGAACUAUCACCAGAGAGAGGUAGAGUUGUGGUAUAGAGAGAGGAGGUUGUGUUUAGAUGGUCCAAAAUCCUACAAUAUAUAGGGGUAUUUAUAGGUGCAGAGAGACUUGUGUGCUACUCUUUUCCAUAAUUAAAUAAUUUAAAACAAAAUCAGAUUAAAACUUUCAAACUACUAUAUUCCAUAAAUAAUCUGAAACAAAAUCAGAUUAAAACUUUCAAACUACUAUAUUCCAUAAAUAAUCUGAAACAAAAUCAGAUUCUGAAACUUGCUUCUAAUACACCCGAAACUAAAAAAGGUAGUUCUAAUUAUUGAUAUUUUACAUCCAAAAAUCCGAGAAAAUUAGAAAAACAGAAUGGAGCGAUGUGAGAGGCGCCACCUACACGCCACUCACUUCUCCAUUAUAUAACACGCCACUCGCUUCUCCAUUAUAUAAGUAUACUAGCGAAAAAAGCCGCGCUUCGCGGCGGCGUUAUGAAUUUUUUUUAAAUUUAGAUAAAAAAAUUGUUUUAGCUACUUUCCCGUCAAACAUAAUACUAAUAAAAAAAUAUUAUUAUUUAGGUAAAAAUUAAUUUGGGCCGCCCUCCCCUUAAACACAAUACUAAUAAAUAAUUUUUUUUAUAAAUUUUGAUACGAAAUAAUAUUAUAAUUCCAUAAAAAUUAUUUUCAGUCGUGUUCCCGUUAAACAUAUCUUCAAUAUAUCUUAUCGAAAAUAAGAAUUGUAUAUAUUACUUUACAUAUCUUAAAUAUAAAUUGUAUUUUAUCUAUUAUUAUUAGUUUGAAUAAAUAUAAUCCUAUUUCUUUUAGGAUUACUAAAUAAGAAAAGAAUUGUAUCAUCUUUAGAAUUCAAUAAGAAAUACUAUUGUAUCAUCUUUAGAAUUUAAUAAGAAAUACCAAAUAAGAAAAGAACUGUAUCAUCUUUAGAAUUAAAUAAGAAAAGAAUUGUAUUACUUUUAGAAUUCAUGGACCUGAUUUUUUGAAUUAUAAUUAUAUUUUAUCUCCGAAAUUCAAGAAAAUUUAGAAGACUGAAUCGAACAAUCCUAGAGACGCUCGCAUCCUCCUUUAUAUAUAUAUAUUGAUUGAUUUCGUUAUUUUCAUAUUUCAAUAAAUAACAUAUUCUAUUAUUAAGUUGUGCGCAUAAACAAGUCCUAUAUGGGUAUAAGAUAUAGCUACCCAACAGAGCUUUUUUUUUUUUUCACUAAAUAAUUUUUUAUUAAUAUUUUGGCUAAAUAUUUUUGCCUCAAUUUAUUUCCAAAAGACUUAUAGUAGAGUUUGUUUUAUUUUAUUUUUGUAAGGAGCAGAGUUUAUUUUAUAUGAAUUACUAGAAUUCAUAGUGUUCAGUGUCGUGGUUUGGGUCUUAGACUGUGUGGACAAUUGGUUAUUAAGCUUGGGUCGUGACAAUUUAAUGUUUAAGAUUUGGCCAGGAACUUGACAAAAAUAUUGGGCCAGGAAGGUCCAUUGUUUAAAGACAGGGGUCCCUUACCAUAACUCCGGGGUCUCUGUUGUCUGAGUUUAGGGCAUUAAAUUGUGUUGUCCGAGCCCAUUAAAAUAUUUAGCUAAAGUUUAAUAUCUUAUCAUAAAUAAAAAUGAUACGAUGAUAGCUAAAAAUUUGUACGCAUAAUCAUUUGAUGAUCACAAUAUUUCACCAACUUCUAAAAAACGGUAUCAUAUAUUGCUAUGCAAAACUGAUAUAUUUUAUUUUUAAAAUUUGGAAAUAAAUAUAACAUAUCAUUUUUAAGAUACAGUCAAUCAAUAUAAUCGAUAUCAAUAAAAUAACAUGCAUUACAGAUUUAAUAAAUUAAUUUUACAUUAUUAUUUAUAUGUCUAAUUUAGUGAAUCAUUUUCAGACAACAUAAUUAUAGAUGAUCUUAGUCUACUUUGAGGAAUAAAGUAAUAUUAUUCACUAAACAUCAUUUUUUUUUUUUUUGGAUAAGCAUUCACUAAACAUCAUAUACUACAGUGUAAUCCAUCGUUUUUUAAAACACGUGUUUGACUACACCAAAUUAUUGUUAUUUUAGUCUUUGCAUGCCUUUGGGUAGAUAAUUUACUUCUUUGAAUUAAAAAAAUUUCUUCACGCAAUAUUUUGAUACAAUUCAUGACAGAGUGCGCAGACUCUUAAGAAUAUUGAAAUGUAUAUGGGUUGAAAAUGCAGACUGCGGUACAGAACCUAAACAACCUGAAUUUUCUUGGGCCUAACUAAUAUGGAUCUUAGCUUAGAUAGUUUGGGCAUUUAGAGAAAAGCCCAAUUUAAUGAGCACAAGACAAGUCGAACUAAAUGCUUACGGGUUUAAGUUUAUGACACAUAACUUAAUAUACUUAAUAUGAUAAAUUGAGAAUUUAAAAUAUAUAUUUAGAUAAUUUUUGACAUAUUCAUUACAUAUGUGAAAUAUUAAAAACAUAAUAAUAAAAAUAAAGACUAUUUAUGAGUAAUUUAUGUAUUAUGACUUAUUAAUUUGUGUAUCAAUUUUUAUAAAACUUCCUCCAUCUCAUCUGGUUGUUAGCAUGUAUUUUGAUUCUCCUGUAAAAUAUAGUUUGAUAAUAUUUUUUAAUAAAAUAUAAAUAUCAAAUUUUUAUUCAGAAGAAAAUAUAUUACGGAAUUAUACUUUAUAAGAGUCUCAAAAUACCUCCAUUUUUGUCUUCCUUCCAUUUUUUACAUUUAAUAAGUAAUAUAUAUUUAUAGUUUAUUAAUAUUAUUUUUGUUAAAAAUUUCUUGUUUAUUAUUUAAAAAAUAUAUAUAUAUAGUUGGCAUAUUUGAUAUUUGAAAUUUUUAAGGACCUUUGAGAAAUUUCCUUUCAAAAUAUUAUUUGUCCGGAUUAUAUAACAAUAAUGUUUAGAGUAUUCUUAUACAAUAUUUUUGUGAAUAAAUGUUAAUUAUCUAUUAAAGUUCAUUGUAUUGAACUAAUUCAACGUAUUAGCGGCAUGCGUCCAUAAUAUGAUUCACACAUUUUAAAUAUAAGUGAUCUAACAUCAAAAACUUAUAAGAUAAUGUGACAUAACGCAUCUUGAAUUAUUAAUUUAUAAACGUAUUAAUAAAUUAAAAUCCUUCGUCAGAAAACAAGAAAGUACAGUAAUACAACUUAUAUAUGGUUGUCCUACAGCUGUAUAAACCUAUAAAUAAUGGAAUUUGAAGCUUGAUGCCUACAACACUAUUUUAACUUGUACAAUCCUGGAAAUAACAUAUAAUUGUAUCCAUUCGUUUGUUGUUUUGUGAAUUUGAUUAAAUACAAAUGAAGGUGUACCAAAAGACUGACAAAAUAGGAGUUAUAUAAUUGAGUGUAUGUUACAAAACCAACUGUACUUGUCCAAGUAGCAAUUGUAGGGCCUUUGAAAUAUUCAGAUUCCAGAAUAUAUGUGGACUAUAGUGUUCUCCCAUUUGCAAGGAGAGAGAGGGUGUGUUGAUCCGGUGGCUUAUAGAGCCUCUGAGCCCAAUGUCCUUUUCCUGAAAAAGGUAAACUGAUGGGGAUGGGCAUCACCAUUUCAAUUUAUAUUUCUUCCCAAAUUUUAAUCAAACCUUAGCAUUUUAUGUUCAUUAAUCAUUAUUAAUAUAUAUUGUGAUUUGUGGAAAUUGGGAAUCAGAAUUAAUCAAUUGAUCUAAUGAUUAAAGAUUUAUUAGAAUUUUUUUUGAUGAAUCGGGAAUUUUUUCGUCAGACAGUAACUAUAUAUUUUAAAGAGUAAUCAGUCGGCAAUCCUUAAAACACUACAUAUUCUUAUAAAAAUUGAAUGACGUUUAAACUUAAAGUAUGAUAAAUUAAAUAAUGCAAAAUUAUUUGGGUGGUAAUGGUUGUUUCUACGAGUUUCAAUAUAAUUUUUUGAGAGGGAAUACUUGAAAUAAAGAGAAGCAUUUUUUCUAUAGGAACAUAUAGCUAAUUACCUAUACGAAAAAGAAACAUUUUUAUGAUUUUUAAAUUUAUGUUUGAACUAGUCUUUAAUAAGGCAACAUCUACCACUUGCUCAUAGUUGAAUUUAAAGACUAAUCAUGAGUUUUUAUGAAUCUACUCUAAUUAAUUGCGACAAAUGUUAUAAUGGACAAUUUUUAAUUAAGUGUUAUCAGUAUAAUGGAGUAAGGGGACAAGUAAAGUGCAUGUAUCGCCACAAUGACAAGGACCCUUUUGUCUGUGUAUAUAUAUUUUAUUUUUACUAGAAAAUUAUUAUUUCGGUCAAUACAUGUACUAUUCGUAGUAAUUAAUUAACAAAUUUUGUGAGAUAAUAUUCACAAAUCACAAAAAUUGGAAUUAUAUAUUAAAAAUAAAUUCAUGUUCAAUCUUCAUGUCAAAUUAUGCAAUGUCUGUAUAUCACAAUUUUAAAGUAUGCUUUGCUAAUUACAAAAAUGUUUUCUGCAUAAUCUAUACAAUUCAUUCACUCACACUAUCGCAUUACCUGAAAAUGGAAAGUUUCAUAAUAAUUCAGAGAAUAAAAAAAUUUCAUAAUAAACUAGAGAACUGAAAUUUGAUUGUAUGAGUUAAAGUGAAAUUGAUUCGACAUAUUUAAAACAGCUUUUUAUUCGAUUAAAUUAAAUGAGAAGCUCGAUUUGUUUCAAAAUAUCCUAUCUCGGAUUCGAUUAUACCCCAUGAGCAGGGGAUCUAGGGAUAUUUUAAAUUUUUGAUAAACAACUAUAUGUUUUCAGAUUUUCAAAAGGUUUUUAGUAAUUUUAUAAAAUCUAAAAUGAUGAAAAGAUGUCAAUAAAAAUUUUUAGCCGGAUGCUUCUUACCAGAUCCGCCGCUCCCCAUCAGAACACACAACACAUUAAGCAGGUGGCAAAAACAAAAAUUCAAACGUACAUAUAUAUAUGAUUUUUAAAAAUCUCGUAGUUAUAGAAAAUUCAUGAUAAAUUUUCUAUUAACGCAUUGAUAAUAUUUUAUCGUGUUAUUGUUUUAUUCCAAGCUGAUUAAAUCUUUAAAUAAUUUCAAAUUGAUAAAUUAAUCAAUUAAUUCUAAUUUCCCAAUGCUAAUCGUGUUAAUAUUUACCGAGUUUACUCGCUGAAUGGAGUUCUUACAAUCGAGUCAUCGCCAAAAAAAUUACCGUAUAUCACAGCAAACAACAACAUGGUCACUGAGCAAAGCUUGAAUAUUUAUCGAUAGCAUUAUACUAGCAAAAUCAACCUUAAUAUGAUUUAAUAAUGACCAAUUAACAAUUUAAAACCAUUCUAAAUAACACUUAACCAUCAAAUCCCGUUUGACUCCAAACCGCGUCUCGAACCCGGCUCAUAUCCCUACCUUUAAGUGUUCGCCCCACGCCUUCGUAAACCGAGUUGGCAGCCGAGUUGCGACUCCGAGCCAAGUACUCGUGUGGAGGAACCAUAUCAAAGUCACGCUCCUCCCAAUCGUCCGAGUCAUGCAUGGACUCAACCGACUCAACUCGGUAAAUCUUUGACCAAUCCGGCACGUUGAUGGGCGCUGACGUGGCCAUCUGGCGUCCACGUGGCGACGCCACGUAAUCCUGACCACGGAUUUGGUGCACGAUCCGCGGAGAGGAAACCCGGCCCGGAUCAUCAAAGGCCAAUGACAACCCGCCCACGUGGCCUUCCUCAUUUCCACCUCCCCGGUGACUCCUCCUACUCACGCGCACAUUUGUCUCCACGUACGCACGUGGAGUCCACUCAGCGUUGGAACUAUGAUACGUGUGCUCCUCGCUGUCGACACUAACCGUGUCGACAGCGGACCACACGUCAUCUUCCGCAAACUCCAAUUCGCCGUUGACCGGACCCUGAGUUUGACGAUAAUUGUAGCUCCCUAACAAACGCUCGCUUCGACUUAUGGUCAGUCCUCGACCUUUGGCCAUGUAUCAUCACAACCACCGGCCGAAAUCCGAAUGAAUCUUAAAUUCAAGCUACCUAGUAAAAAAUAUUGUUUAUGUGUACAAGUACAUAUGUUAUAUGUAUGUUGUGUAUGAAUAUUAAUGUGUGUAAAUGUGAGCUAGCUGAUGCUAUAACUCCAUUAGAAAAAAACAUAGAGUGAGCCUUUAUGUUAGAGACCUGUAUAUAUAGCGACCGAUGAUUGCAUUAGCUGGACCCACAACGACCGCAUAAUUCAUGCAUUUCAUUUCAUGUGAAUUUAGGUUACAUUUUAUCUGCAUUUUAUACCUUAAAAUCACAAGGUGAGAUCUAAGAGUAAAAAGAGAGUGUAAGGUAGUUUAGAUUGGAGUCAGAGGGGUCGAAAAAAGAAAUCAAGAAGUAAUUAAGUAUAAAUAUGUGUAAAAUAAAUCUAAAUGUUCAAAAAGUGAAGAGUGUAUAUCGUUUGUGGCCAUUUUUUUGGAGCACAUUAUGAAAAAGCCAUCUGAUUUUCAAAAGAUAUAUAUACUGAUAUAAUGGUGUAAAAUGGGGAAGCAAAAAUAGAUUAAAAACAAUUGAAAAGCAAUUGAUUAAACUAGGUUACACUGUUAAAGUAAAAAAUAUUGACAAGUGUAGAUUCUUGAUUCUCUUGUCAGUAACUGUAAGUCAGUAAUCAGUGGUUAAACCUAGGCCAGAUCGAAUUACAAUUACUUGACCUUUUACAGUCUUCUCUUGCGGGGCCCAGACAGGAUGUUCUCCCAUUUGGAUCCGCAAAUUACGAAUUUGAAUUGUGAAUUUCUUCUGGUAUAACUGAUAUUCAUUCAAAAUUACUUCGGAAAAAGUAUGAUCAUAUCGGAUAAAAUAUAAGUUUAUAUACAUAAACAAUAAAAUUUAUAGUUAUGCUUUAUGCUGUUUAAUACUCCCUCCGUCCCGGUGGGUUGUAUACGCUCACUGUUUGCACGCAUUUCGAAGCUCUAAUAAAAUAUAGUUAUAUAAUGUUUUUUCACAAUUUUUUUUUUUGAAUAAAAGCUUAAACAUCAAAUCUUGGAUUCUCAAAUCUUGGAGAAGUGGUGACUCAAAUCUUAAUUCUCAAAGCCGACUUUCAAAACUGCAAACUCUAAAACACUCCUUGGAUUUCCAAAAAAGCAAAGACUAAAAUUUGUUACCCGGUAAAAAGAUAAUUGCGAAAGAAAUUACAUUUUUAUAUUUACAUCUUUUCAAGAAUAAUAUAAAAAAAUUAAUAUAUUCUAUGAUAUUUAUAGUAAAAUUUGUGAUAAUAGUUUACAAAAGUGAAAAAUUACUUUUUGCUUAAAAAUAUGGAGAUGUUAUCUUUAGAAGCAGGGUUUUUUUUUUUUUUUGAGAACUUUAAAGCAGGUUCUAAAUCAGCUAAAAAAAUAAUCCGUAAAAGUAAAUAUUAAUCUCCAACAAUAAUAUCAAACGAAGACUACAUCUUCUCCAAAAAGGACAUUCACUCAUAUUAUUUAUAAAUUUAUCCGAUGUGUUUAUGUAAGAGAUUUUGACAUAUUUUAACUUAUAAUAACUUUGACUAUACAAACCACUAGUAAUUACACAAUUCGAUUUGUUCUGUAUUUUAUAAAUGUGGACGAAGACAAAAGAUAUGAUGAUCAAAUUCAAAUUAUCUGGGAGAGAAAGUUAAAUUCAAUAUUUACUCUACGUCGCAAAGCAUAGCCCACUCGAAUUAGUAUUAUUGUAUGCAUCCCCCUCUUAUCUUAUUUGCAAUCGUCACUCGUCAAGUACAAUUAAAGUGGGAGCCACAGACCAUGUGGCCACGUGGGCACGUUUGUCUAAUCCUAUCAGCCAGUCACGACCUGACAUGUAUGAUUCUACGCCAUCGGUGGUCCAUUUGUUGCCUUGUCAUUUCCUAGUCCCACGUGGCCGCUGUGUGAUGUACAUUGAUCAAUACAUUUACUCGUCUAGAAACAUAAAUUGAACCACUUGAUGGAACAUUUUACAGGAUUUACAAAUUCUAUUAAAACAAACAUGAUCGCAUGCUCCAGGGACGUUUGGGAUAUUAGACACUAGGUUAAAAUACGUGCGUGAGAUGUUAAGGCUAGAAUUUUAUAUAUUCUUUAUUGAAUUUGUAUGCCUCAUCGACUACUUAGAGGAUCUCUUAGUAGUAAAAUUUUGAUCUAAAAAUUUGUGUCUUGUAAUAAAUAAAAAUUAUCAAGAAAUUGUGAGAAUUUCUUUGAACUAUGAGUAAAAAAAAGAAAAAAAUAGGAAAAAUAAUUCUUAAUAGUCAGUAUACAUAGGACUAAUCCCAUCAUUAUGUAAUGAAAGUACUUAACCCCUCUAAUGACUAGUGAAUGGUUGUAAAUUUGGAGAUAGACCUGAGGUGAGUCAGAAUGUGAUCCAGAUGACACCUAAUAAUGUCGAGAUGAGAUUGAGGGUAGAUUCUUAAAAAUGUCUAGCACCUAUUUCCAAAAUUCUAAUGAAUGAAUUGAGUGAAAUGGGGAAUAAACACAUACUCCCUCCGUCCCAGCAGAUUCUUUACAGUUUCCUCUUUGGGAUGUCCCAUCCAAUUCUUUACAUUUCAAAACUUACCAAAAAUAGUAAAUAGGUCCCACCACUUCCCAACUUUUCUUCCCUUUUCACACUACUUUUACUUCCUUUUCACACUACUUUUACUCCACUAACUCUCUUUUAUACAUUAAAAAUUAAUGGGCCCCACCACUUCAACCACUUUUCUUUCUCUUUCCCACUACUUUAUACAUAUUUCUUAACCUCCGUGCCCAAACCAAACGUAAAGAAUUGGUUGGGACGGAGGGAGUAAUAUAGUUUGGCUUUAGUGAUUUUCACUUAAUCACUAGCCUCCACAUAUAUUUUUUACUUCAGUGAUUUUCAUGAAAUCCUUAACUUCUUUAUGUGCUGUAAUAUUCUGCUAUUAUGAUUUACAAGCAGGAAGAACAUCUCAAAUGUUACCGUCUAGCCAAAAGAAGACAAAAUAGAUACCUUAUUUUAGAAUUUUAAAGUAGGAAAGAAAAUUAUGACAUCCAAGAAUAAGAAAACGAAAAGAAAACAGCGUGGGCAUGAAGUAUCAAUUUUUGACGGGCACAUUGGAUGGUAGAGAAUCAAAAGUUUAUAAAUGAAGGUCCCAUAUUUUUUGUCCCAAAUGAAGUACACAAACUAUGAAAACAGGACACUUUCAUGACAUAUUCACAAUUCACCAUCAAGAGCCCCCUCCUCGUCUAAUCAUAAUUUGAGGUCGGGGUCAGUAAUAUCUGAUAUAAUUAGAAAUGUUUUAAUUCGUUAAGAUAUAUUGGUCACAUAAGUUAGAUAUUAAUAAAUGGAUUUUAAAUUACAUUUAUUAAAAUAUAUACUAGCACAAAAAUAUAAAAUAAUAAUAUAUUAUAUCUAAAAUAUAAAAGAUAAAAUUAUAGUUGUCAAGUUGUAUUAUCUCACUAUGAAAGUCUCGGACCAGGGAAUCCUGAUACUUAUGUGUGGUUAUUAAUUCCGCUAUACCAAUAAUAAAUUUGAUAAAUUUUAUAUAAAUCCUGCAUCCAUAAGUUCCGAUUUCUAAUUUCCUCCGAUAUUGGUUACAAUUUACAAAACCUUUAUCACUGGCAUAGUUUUACAAUUUCGAUGUAAAGAUUUUAGGUAUAGACCGGUCUCAAUUGACACAACUCAACUUGAACCCCUUUCCUCUUCUGUAUUUGUGAAAAACACCCCUGCUCAGUUAUCUCGUUGCUGUGAGUCCCGUGCUCCUGAUUCUGAAGUAUCCUAUGUUGGAUUAAGCUUAUUCAUACGAUGAAUAAAAACGCAUUAUUAAAUCAUAAAUAAUAUUAAUUAGCGUCCUUACCUUCCUUAUCCUAUAUUCCUAUCUAUACUAUUAAAACUAAAAUAGUAUCAAAAUUUAGUGCGUCGGUGUAGUUUUAUUAAAUUACCGUAUGCCAAACUAAGAAAAUAAUAUAAUUUUUUUUUUUUUCAGAACUUUGAUUUAUGUAAACACCUCCUCACCAGUAAACCGAGAAGGAGAGGAAUUUCAAUUUUGGGAAGGCUAGCGCAAGCAAACUUGGACGAUACAAACAAUCAAAGUUGUAUAAGAACAAAUUAGCCCCCCCAGCCUUUGUAUACUACGGUAGAGACAAAGAUUAGUGUUACAUCGUACCUUUUGCUUGACAGAAAAUUUCUUCAAUUAUUUGUUUACGAAUUAUCGGUCGCCAAGAAAAAUCUUUAACAAAUUCAGUGCAUGCCUUUAGAUUGUUUUAACAACUUCGUAACGGAAAGAAAUUUGUUAGGUUAUUAAACUACAAAAAAAUUCCACUGCUAUAUGAGGAUAUAGUAUGUUUGCCAUUAUUUUUAAUUUGAAAUUGAAAAAUAAAUUAAAAUGAAAAAUAAGUCAUUAAAAAAAAGAAGUUAAACAUUUUGUUAUUUAUGUUAAUUUAUAUGACAAAAAUAUUAUAAUCCAAAUUAAUAAUUUAUCAUAAAUAUUCUUGUUUACAAAUUUAAUAACUCUUAAUUCGUCGGGAAGACAAUAUUAUUCAAAUAUCAACAUUUUAAAUUAUAAAUGAUUGAGCUUAUUGGCUUUGCUCAGUGAACGACCCAAGAAUCGUAUUAGAGGGCAAACUUGUAUUUUAUAAAUUAUUAUUCUAAUAAGUGCGAGAAAUAAGAUCGAUUUUAAAUUAUUUUCAAUUUUAAGAUGUAAUCGUAAAAUGUUUAUGUCUGCAGACUGCAACAUGCAGUCUAUAUCGUCAUUCUCACAAACAAUUUAUCAAAUUAAUAAUAAUAACUAUUAUUGUUAUAUUUUAAUGAAUUAUAAAUUGUUUAUAAUAUAAAAUCAUAGAAAGAUAAUUUAAAAUUCUUAUCUACAACAUGAUCCUGGAUCGAAUAAAUUUUUUAUAAUAAGCCGAAAGAAACUUGUGUGAUUGACAGCUAAACAGUACCAUCUACUGCUGAGUACUAUUUUUAAGUUGUGUAAACUGAUAGGUGUAUUAUAAUAAACUAUAACAAAGAUACAUGAUCGUCCUGUUUGAUAAUUAUAUACUCCCUCCGUUCUGUUAGCGUAUUAUAUUAAAGGUUUUUUUUUAGCCAGAAAUAAAAUUGCAUUAAAAUUUCAAGUCUUCCAACAAUAUAUGAAGAAAUUCUGAAUGAACAUCAGCUCUAUUCCAGAUACGCUCAUUCCAGAUACGCUCAGCUAUUGAACUCGAGUUUAUCGCUAUAAAGUGAUAUUUUUUCGGUACUAAUAUUUUUUCUUAAUAAAAUCUAUCAUAUAUUUCUUUCAUUUCCAGCACUUCUGCAUAUGUUCUUUUUUAGCUGGAAUAACCAUACUAAUAUAUGGCCAUUAUUCUUAGAUACCAGCAGACAUUUUAUUCUUAGAUAACAGCAGACCAGGGUCUAGGAGUAAUAUGCAACUAAUAUAUAACUUAGGCCGCCACACCAUGUUAAGAGAAUUAUACGAGUUGCUGAUUUCCUACUAAAGAAUAUUGAUCAUGAGAACCUUCCCUUUACCUAAUCUUUUUACUAAUACAGUCCCACGAGAAUAGCUAAGAUCAUUUAUUAGCAUAAUUAAUUACUCUUACGAAUAAUUUUGCUCAUUUCUUUGACCAAAUUGCCUCAUAUGGAUCGGUCAUCGCUAAUCACUACCCACACUCUGAUUGAUCAAUUUUCUACACUUUGAUGCUCAACCAUUGAAAAUGCUUAAACUGUUACAUUCAUAUCUUUUGCCUUUAAUUAUUCUUAGACAACCCAAAUUCCCAACCAAACAAUAUACUCCAACUUAAGUUUAAUAUGCCAUAAUUUUGUUGUACCAUACAUCUGUCAACUUCGCAGGUUCCAGUUUAAUCAUCAUUUUGGCUAUUAAGUGAUGUCAGAUAUAAUAAUAAUCAUCAAAUAUUGAUUAAGUGAUAGCCCCUUGUUUUUUUAAUUUUAUUUACAACUUUUACAUAAUAGGCAGUGUUAAGAUCAUAUAAUUUUUUUACAUUUUCCACCCCUUGAAAGAAUAUUGAGAAUUAAAGAAAAUAGAACCCGAGUCUUCGACUCUCUCUGAAGACUGAAUUCUUAUAUCAUACAAAGAAGAACAAAAUCAUAAAUGAUGCAUUUAAAAGGGUGGGUAGUUGGAUUUUAAAUUGUAUAUUUGGAAAUUAGCUAAAUAUAAAAUAUGAGAAAAUAAUAUGUCCAAUUUUGCUAAAAAUUACUUUUUAUAGUGCUUCUAUAACAAUAAAUCCGUUUAUUAUAGCAAAAUUGUUAAACUUGCGCUUAGAAAUUUUUUUAGAACUGUUAUGUAUGAGUUAAGUAUCUAACUUUCAACAGAUAAUCGCAUCAAACCAAAUCCCAUACAGAUCGACUACUCCCACUCGUGUGUUAUUUGUGGUAAUAACAUUGGUGGCAAGUCAAUUUAAUUUCUUUGUUUCGGCCGAGUUUUCUUCGAUGCAACAUCUGAUUAAACAUUUGAUAUGCUUGGAAUCUUUGUGUAUACUGUACUAGCAAAAUGUUGUGGGCGCCUGCCACAUUGUACCAACUUUAAACCUGGUUUAUCUUCAUUCUAAAAGCUGUCGAUAAUAAUUGUACCUUUAUUCAUUUUAAAACGGGAUUAAAUAAGGUUAGAUCGAAUCAUUUCAACACGUAAACAUAUAAAUAUAUUAUACAAUAUGUUUGGGGUGUGCUAUUUCAACAAUGUGCAUCUUUCAAAAUAUCAGAUUCAGUGGCUCUCCUGUACAACAUUGACAAUAAUUAAUCUCCUGAAUUAUCUUUAUGUGGUCGAAAUGAGUGAGGGUUGGAAUCAAAACUAAUCCGUUGACUUAUCAAUUCAGGAUUUAUCAGAAAUUUAUUGAUUUUUUUUUUUUUUUAGCAAAUUGAAGCAUAAUCAAUAAAUCGGCAUUUUUAGAAAUUAAUCAGAGAUUUUUAGAACAUUGCAACGAUUAAUGUGCAUGAUAAAUUUGUUACAAUUUCACUUUAAAAUCAUUAACAUCAACAACUAGCGAAUUGACAGAGCCUCGUGCUUUUUCCAAAUUCCGAAGUGCAAAAUCGUGCAGAUAAUGGGCAGUCCUAAAAUUUAACACGAACGUGAUUAUUCGCUAUAUUCGAGAUUAUGUUAAUGGAGAAUCAUAAUAAUAAUUGUAAAAAGAAUUGGGUACCAAGUAUAUAUAACGUUGAGAAAAGAGCUCUUUUCUACUGUUGUAAAGAUAACCAUCAAAAAUGGAAGUAGGCAUAUAUCAUCGUAUAUUCGAAACAUGUAAAGUUGCAUAACGCAAACCAACUCUCUCCUGACCAAACAUGUGAUAUGCACCUAAAGUUCCUCACAAGCACAACUUGGCUUGUACACUUUUAAUAAUACUCUCCCAAACUUCCCCCUUUCACCAAAACGCUUAUAAUAACAAAUGCCACACGCAUAUUUUAUCAUUAUUAGUUUAUUACACUCCGAGCUCUCAGCCUUCAGCUUACUGGUAUGUAGUAUCGAAAAGUAAUUUACAAAGAGAUUGCUUGAUAUUAAAUUUUUUUAAAAAUCACCUUUUUAUACCCAACUAUCGUUGUCGGUCUGAUGUAAAAUUCGAGAAUUGAAACUAAUUGAUUGAUUGACAUGUCAGUAUUUAUUAUUAAUCCAUAGAAUAUUUUUUUCGAUAUAUCAAUAUAUUUUUCAAUAAUCGAGGAUUUUUUAAUAAAUUACAAAUUUUCAAAACACCACCGUUGUUGGCAAGCAGUAAAUUGAAAUACAUGCGUAAGUUAUCGCUUAACAUAUUUAUCAUGAAAUAAUAUUAGGAUUUAAAGAACUUAGGUAUAAGAAUUUUUAUAGCGUAAUAGUAUAAUCUCACCACCCCAUCAUAUAAUUAAGUAUUAUUGUGUCAAUUCUUCGAUUUAAUAUCGAUAUAUGAUUAGAAUGGAAGCUUUAGAGAUGUUUUUGUAAUGGGUUUGUGAGCUGUUGUAGGUAGGGAUGAGCAGAAACCGAACCGAAAAUUAAAACCGCACCAAAAACCGCAAAAACCGCAUGAAACCGCACCAAAUAAAACCGCACCGAAUAAAAACCGAACCGAAACGAAACCGCACCGAGGCUUUGGUUUUGGUUUUGGUUUCUAAAAAUUUUAAAACCGAAUACAAACCGAACCGAACCACAAUAAUAUUUAUAUUUAUUUAUUUUAUAUAUUUAGAUAUUGUAUAUAAAUUAUAUCUAUUAUAAAAUAUAUAAUUAUAUAUAUAGUAUAUACAUUGUCAAGAAAGCUUUGCUUGGCAGACUGUCUACUAACUUUGACAAUGCUCUAAACACGAAAGUUUCACAUUGCACACUCGCACACUCGUUUAUGCCGGUCCAUUUUUGUUGGGUUAAUCGUUUAGGCUUAUUGGUUCCUGUUUAUAAGUGAAAUUUAUGUGAAUAAGUGAAGCUUGACAAGAUAAGAUGAAUAAAAUAGACUAGUUUUUGGCUGUUAGUAAUUUUUGCCUACUGCCUUGAGUCAAGGCCCUUGACAUCUAAAUACGCAUUAGUCUAUCUGGUGCAUGUAACAUGUUUCCGAAUACAUUUACUGCUUUCCAGUUAAACUCUCUUAUUAUUUAAAUAUUACUGAAUUUCGCAUAUUUAUUUAAACUUGUUAAAGAUCCUAGCAUUCGACAGUUUAUCGAACUCUUCACGGUUUGAAAACCGAACCGCAUCAUGUAAAACCGAAACCGCUCAUUUUUUAAACCGAACCGCACCAAUGCUAUUUGGUUCGGUUCCGAUUUUGAAUUUUAGAAACCGCAUGUCGUGGUUCCGGUUGCGGUUUUAGGUGCAAACCGCACCAAACCGCACCACGCACGUGCCUAGUUGUAGGCUUGUAGCAUGGUUGAAACUUGAUACUGGUCAACCUUGGAUUCACAGUUAAAUAGUCCAAAUAAACUUUGAUGGGUUCAGGCCUUCAAAAUUUUAUUGAAGCUACAUGAUGCUCAGCAUGUUAGCCCAGCAUCAGCCCAGACAUAUAUUAGAACCGGGGUUGUUUCAAAUAUUUUGAACUAAAAAAGAAUCAGAUUAUUGCUUCUUUUUUUCCUAUUUAUUUACGUGUUUGACUUGUGUUUAAACUUCCAGAAUAUUUUAAGGGCCUUUUUCUGACUUGCCAUUAUUUGUAAAUAUAUUUUUUUUAUUUUGUUUAAAAUUAUUAAAUCUAUAAUUGUACCAAAACAAAAAAAAAUUAAGAAACAUAUUAAUCUAAGAAUAUUGCCUCAUUCUUUUUAGGCCUUUUAUGAAUUGAAUAUAUGUUCUCAUAAUGCGGAUCUGGGCAAGUGACUUUAACCACUCGCCUAUUGAUAUUGACAUAAAAUUUUAAAGUCUCUCAUGAUUUUUUCUUACUUCUCCCAGGGUUUUAGAUGCUAUAAUAAUCUUUCCCCUAAUAUUUAAAUUUUGAUUUUCUUUUAAAUGAACGAUUUAUUUUGAAUUAUUAGUCAAUCAGAAGACAUCAAGACAUGGUUUGGAACCACUGGUUCAUUAUUUCGAUUAGCGCACACACUUCCGCGAGCCCACGAUUGCUAUCGGUACAAUACAAAUCAAAUGGUUUGCGUUUGACAGUGUUAAACCGUGCGAACUGCGAAACUCUGGUUGUCUGAGGGCGGAUUUAGUAUUCGAACUUUAGGGGGCACCAAACAAAUUUACGGAAAACAUUUAUAUAUUUUCAAAUUUUGCGUGAGCACUUCUCUAAUUUUUUAAAAUUUAAAAUGAUCAGAUAAUGUAAAAAAAAAAUUUGGCGGAGACACGUAUCCCUCGUGCAUCUUCCUAGAUCCACCCGGGUUGUUUGGCGAUAACAGUAUGAUUUACUUACCAAAAGGGGAAGCAAUUAAUUGCGGAGAUUUUGACAAUGUAGGUGGAAGUUUCUGAUAUAUACGGAUGAACUAGUCAGCUAUCUCUCUCCAACGUGUGCUGACUCGGUGAAUCCUAACGCAAACAAGCAGCCAAACAAGUUGCUUGUUUAGUUUGUUCACACCUUAAUUCUAGAUUCCUUCUUACAAACCUUUCACACUCUUCGUCUCUUCUACAUAUAUAUACCACUCGGUGAAUUUCAUCAGCCAAAAAACUGAAAAACGUAGCACCCAGUGAUAUUCUUUUCUAAAACUUGAAGUGUAAGGUUCGCCAAAACAGCGCAAUAUGCUUAAAAUUGUUUAGCAAAAUAAUAUUGCAAAUGGUAUAGAUGUCCUAAAAGUUUCCAAUCGUUUAAUUUCAGAUUAGCCCUCUGCAAGAUAUCUUUCGAGUUGAUUUUAAAAUCUGAUUAAUCACUAUAUUUUUUUUAAAAUAAUAUUUCAUAUAAGAAAUUAAAUUAAUAGAUCAAAUAUGUUUAUAAUAUUAUAUCCAAUUUAUAAUCGACCAAUCACUGAUUAUUCCUACUAAUCUCCGUCCAAUUUAUAUACAUCUGUACUCGUAUGCUUUCGUCUAGAUAAAAAUUCUAGAUAUUUUUCAUUUAACUGACACUGGUCACGGAACGACCUGACAAUUGAGGUAUUAAUUAUUAUUACAUCUCUAGAAGCCAUAUCAUAAUAUAUCAAACAAGACCGAAUGGAGAUGAAGACUUCAUUUUACAAAAUAGUCGUCUCGGACUGACACGCAAGCACAUGAACGUGUGCUGUACCGUUUUUUAAUACUUAUCAAUACUUGCCGAUUAACUACUACUACAAUCAGCUUCAUCUACGAAACAUCCCCAUAUGGCCAUAUAUACUUGUGUCCAAAUAUAAAUACACCUUCUCCCUUCUCAUUUCUCUCCUCGACUUACAUUCGAAUACACAAACACAAUCAUUCGAGAGUUCGAGACUUGUCAAAUUUAUAAAUAAUACUAGCGUCGAUAUAUUAUGGGAAACUCGUGUUGUAGAGGGGAAGCAUCAUCGUCGAUGGUGUUUCCACACUUUCAUUCUGCCGAGAAAGAAAGUUUAUUGGAUAAUAAAACCUCGUCAUCAGCUUCUUACGAUGAUUAUGAUAAGCAGCAUAGAGAAGUGAAGAUCAAGAUUACGAAGGAGAAGCUAGAGGAAUUGCUUGGUACAGCUGACGUGCAUGGCAUGUCCGUGGACCAAGUUGUUGCUCGUCUCUUGAGUGCUAGCGCCGAUCAUCAUUAUUAUGAUCCUGAUGGUGAUCUUGAUCUUGAUUCUCAUCAUCAUCGUUCUUGGAGGCCGGCCCUUCAAACUAUUCCCGAAGUCAAUUAAUUUAUUAGUAUUAUUAUAUAUGUUUAAUAUAUAGGCGUUUACAGCGGCUAAAUUACGAGGAACCAUGGUCUCUGGAUCAUGAGUUAAGUAGCUAGUUGAUUUUGUUUCGUUGGCUAGAGUUCAUUCUAUUGGUUGUAAAUAUCAUCAAACUUGAUGUCGUCUAUCAUUUGAUGUAUAUACAGAUAAUAUAUACAUAUUUAGAUAAAUGCGGGGUUUUGUGGGGGAAAUUUUGUUCUUGAUCAAGCUCAUUUUUUUUUUACAAAUAUGAUUUAUAACCUUACAAAUGAGUAUUUGUUGUACGAAACUUUCAGAGUGAGUCAGGUCGAACCUAGGACCUGGUACGACAGAGGAUAAACUCUUUACCACUGAGCUAUCCAAUCGUUCUCUGAUCAUGCUCAUUUUAAUGCUUGGAAUUUUGGUUUCAUGCAGAAAUCAAUAAUCAUAUUUUCAUACAUGUUGCUAUCUUGGCUGGUCAUAUUCGAUAUGUUUGUUUGUACUCUCCUUUCCUUUUGUUUGAGUUAUCUGUUUAAUUGCAGUCAUUUUUUUUAUUUUUCUUUUGGUAAGGUGAUUGCCGACAACUUCUGGGUUGAUAUAGUAAUGAAAAACAAUUAAAACUAAAUCAUAUUCAUCAUCUCAAAAAAAAAAUUAAAAAAAUAGUCAUAUUCAUUUUUCCGAGCGCACAAAGAUUCAAGGGGACAAGGAGAACACAAAGUUUCUAAAGGGACAAGUCUAAUCUAUUAUAUUAUAUAUCUAAUAGCAGAACCUUGAUCAAUUUAAUUCAAUAGGACUAAAUUACCCUUUACUUAAAAUGCAUAUUUAUAUAUAUAGAGAGGUUAUUAUUGACUUUUAACACCAACAUAUUUAUUAGACAUUAAUGUCUAAUCAUUAAUAUACAUUAAAUUACUUCAUAUUUACACAUCUAUUAUAUAUACAAAUAUGUAUAUUAUAUUUAUAUUUAUGAUUUAAUAAAUAAAUAAAUAAACCAAUAUUUAUGAUUUGAUAAUAAAUAAGUAAAUAUCCACUGUUAUAAAAAGCGGGAAUCAGAAAAUCGACGAUUAACCAAAAUGAUUAAUAAGAUUAUUACACUAAUAACUACUUUCAAUCAAAUCAUUAAACAUAAGUUAACUUGCACAUCUGUUUAUUGUUGUUGACUUUUAACGAUGCUCCGUUAAGUAUGGUCACGUGUUUCCAUCUAAGUAUUAGGUUCGCUGUUUUUGCUACUGUGAUUAGACCCGGCAAAUUCUAACACGACACGAAUACAAGAUACGAAAAACGACACGACAAUUUAGUGUUUGUGUUUGCAUUUUGAGUACACGACAUGAAAAGAUACACGAUUGAAAUGUCGUGUCGGUUUUGUGUUUACCUUUCGGGUACACGACACGACACGAGGUACACGAAAUAAAUAUAAUUUAAUAGUUAAAUAUUAAUAUUUAAUUAUAAAUAUGUAUAUUUAUAAUAAAUAUAUGUAUAUUUUCUUUUAAAAUAAUACAUAGUUUAUAAUAUGUAAGUGUAAGUGAUUUAAAUAUAUAUAUUUCAUACUAUUUUGUAAAAUUUUUGACUAGAAAUCUAAUAUUUACAUUAAUUUAUAUAUUUAUUUAUAUUUAUAUUUAAAUUUGAUUUUACACGAAACACGACACGAAAACGACAUGAAAACGGAAGUACACGACACGAAAAUACACGAACGCUAAACGGGUCGGUUUUGUAUUUCACCUUUAAGUACACGACACGAAAAGGUACACGACACGAAAAUACGAUCUGCGCGAAUUGCCAUCGCAAGGGGUGGAUUGAUUUGCUAUUGCAGUGUUUGAUGGAUUGAUUUGCUACUAUUUUGAUAUUGUUUGAUGGAUUUAUUUAUUGAAAUUUAAUAAAAUUGUCAUAAGAAUUAAAAUUAUUCAAAAAUAUUUAAUAAUUAAAAUUGAAAUUAUAUUAAAUAUAAAACAUAUUAAAUUUAAUUAAAAAUUUAAAUUAUUUGAAAUAUGAUACACAAUGAAUUUAAAAUUUAUCAAAAUACAUAAUCAUUUUGAAAUUGCAAAAAAAAAAAACUAAUUAAAAUGAUUUCCUCUGAAUUUGGUAAGUUACAGUGAAAUUUUUAACUUGACAGUGGAAUGAUUUUAAAUUAUUCUAAAAAAAAUAUGAGAAAAGUUUAUUUUUGAUACUUUUUAUUUCGCAGUUACGUAUAAGUUGCUUUUGGUUGAGUUUAACUCAUUUCUCAAUUUACUGAAUGCUUGAACUCGAUUCAACGUAUAUAGUUAUUUAUUGAUCUAGGGAAUUAUAUUUGAUAUUUGGGUAAAGCAUGUGAAUGAGACUGGAUAAUAUAAUUAAGGUCAGAUUCGGGAUAAAGCAUGUGAAUGAGACUGGAUACUAUAAUUAAAGUCAGACCCGUCAGUGCACAACGUAUAUUAUUUUUAACACAUCAACGAAUUACGUCAGUUUUCCGUCACUCAGGUAACAAAAAUUGACGGUGAUAGGCUAAUUGUAAGUUUUAAUUACUUGAAUGAGUUGACCGCAAAUUAUUUAAGUUCGAUUAUCCAACUGCAAGCUGAGGGCGACUUCAGUCAUGAAUAGCCAAUUAACCCAGAUAAUAAAUAUAUAUAAUGAUUUUUGAAAUUUUAAAUUACCCCAAAUUCUAAUACUCGGCUUGAUUUCAACUUAUUAAUCCAAUUUUUGUCCAAUUAGCCAUCGAUUUUAACCGAAUUUUGCCAAAUUCUAUUAUAUAUCUAAUACAAAAAUAAUGAUAAUUUAAUUCAAAGAGAUUAAUAUGUCCUUACUCACGAUAAAUAUUAACAUGAUCAUUAUUUGGAAUUAAUUUGAAGUUAUAAAUAUAUAUAAUCAUUUUUAAAAUUUUAAAUUUCCCCCACAAAUUUUAUAAAUUUUAAUAUUCUACCUGAUUUUGGUCUAAUUAAUCCAGUUUUGACCAAAUAAUUAUCGAUUUAACCGAAUUUUACCAAAUCAGAUUAAAGAUUCGUCUGAUUAUUGAUUAAUCAGUCAACCGACCGAUUCUUAGAAUAUUUAAUUAUUAUGAUUUAAAAAAAUUAUAAAUAUAUAUCUUAGAAUAAUUAUAAAUCUAAUGUAUAACUAUAUGACAAAGACUCUAAUUCAGCAAAAAUGUCCUUUUUUGUAUUAAAUUUUCAUUUAUUUUAGAUGGGUGGUAAUUUAAUUAUAUAAUAAAAUUUUAAAUAGUGUAUAUUUUUUGUAUUCAUAUUUUAAUAAAUAUCAUAAUAGUGAGGAUAUAUUUACAUAUAGACAUCAUAUAAUAUGACUUAAAAUAUAAAUAAAUACACAAUCUAAAUUACUUUUAUAAUACAAAUAAUCUUAAUUUAAAAAUGAUGAACAUAUAUAAAAAAAAUAAUUUAAAACAGCCCGUGUUUUGCACGGGUUAAGAAGCUAGUUAGGUCGAAUGGCAUAAAUUAAUUAUGAAUAUUUUAAUAUAAAUUAUAAACAUGAUUAUCAAAAUUAGGAUCGGAAUUUAUUGAUUGAACUACUGAAUUUAUUAUAAGUUUAGAUCAGAGUAAAUCAAUCUUCUUCCUUUAUUCUGUCAAAAAAAAUCUUCUUCUGUUAUUUGUUUAAUUUUUAAAUUAACGAUCAAGCAAUCCAAGCAGACUUAUAAAAGUCUUCAAUUCAUAUAUUUAACUAUUACUCUGAUUUAUAUAAAUUUAUGAAUGGAGAUUUUUAGUUAAUCAGAAUAUUCGUAAAAACAAAAUAGUAUAUAAAUGUUUCACAACUUAUGUAUCUUUUUUAUGACAAACGUAAAUUUACGCUAGAUUGACAUUAACAGUAUUGUGCUUUUAUCGUUGUCGCCACUCGCCCGUAUUUUGACAGAUGGCUGAGGGAGGGCAUCUUAGCUCCUGGUUUGUGAAUUGUGAUCCCUUUUCCAUAGUUGUGAACUUAGAGCAAGUCUGCUGGAUUAUCUAAACCAACUUCUAAACUUAUAUUUAACUAAUGUAUAAAAAAAAGUAUUAUAGUGAUUAGCUAAAUUAGUACUCCCUCUGUAUCAAGAUAGUUGUCACAUUUCUAUUUUUAUUGGUCAAAUUGACUAAAUUUUGAUCAAAGAUUAUAAGUCAAUCACUCAUCAUUUUAAAAAACUUAAAAUAGAUUAAAAAUUAUUUCCGGUGAUAUAUUUUUUUUAUUUUGUCAAUUGAUACAAUAUUAAUAAAUUUCAGUCAAACUUUAGUCAAUUUGACCGGCACAAAACCAAAUGUGACAACUAUUUUGGGACGGAGAGAGUAAUACAUACUCAAAUCUUCUCUCGUCAUUAUCUACUUUUAGGUAACCUCUUGUCAUUACUUUUUAGGUAACCUCUGGUCAUUACCUAUAUGUAUGAAAGAAAAUUCGUCUACCUUCUUCUCUCUUUAUUUUUUCCCUCUUAUUCCCUUCUCUUUCAAAUAUAUUAUUAAAAUAAUAAUAAAAAAACAAAUAUAGGGAUUGCUAUUGAAGUUGAAACUAAAAGUAUAUUGCCUAAAUCAUAAAAACUCACUAGAAUUUGUUAUUUAUAUUAUUAAUAGAUAAUUAGAUAGAUAACCUAUUGAACUUGCUAUUAUUUUGAAUUAAAAAGAUAUGACAGGUUAGAAAUAAAAUUUAUAAGUACCCGCACCUGCAAAGUUUUUAUUUAAAAAUUUAUAUGAUAAGUCAGAAAUAAAUUUAUAAAUAAUAUAUAUGUUUCAUUAUUUACUAAUACAGAUAUCUUGUUUAUAAUUAUAUUCAAUUUCUUGAUAUUGACUAUUUUUGGCUGAGAUGUGCAACAUGAUUUCAUAUUAAAUAUUAUCAUAUUAAAAUAAUAUAUUCUAUUUUUAAUCAUUUUAAAUAAUAACAACGCAUCAUUUUUAACAUAUAACUAAUCAUUAUAACUAGUAUCAUCGAAAUAAAAUAUCUUAUAUGUUCAAUAAAUUUUACAAAAUAUAUCACAUGUCAAAUUUUUUGUUGAUGAAAAUGAAGAAUUGAAUAAAGGACUGAAACACAACCGUGGUCAAUUACAAUAUGAUUAUGAAAUAAAAAACAAACCAAAUAAGUAGCUGUUUUAUUUUUAGAUCGCUUAACACGUAAAAUAUGGGUUAAUUAUCAAGUUGGUCACUGAACUCAAAACGGUAUCAAGAUGAUCAUUAAAGUCACCAUAAAUAUCAAACAAGUACCUUGAAAUAUGAGUUCAAGUGGUAAAAAUAUUAUUUAUAAAGUUUUACACAUUAUUUUUCAAUGUUACCACGACCAACUAAAAAGUUAUGACUUCUAGUAUUUAAAAUAAUAUAUUUAUAUUUUAUCAAGUUUAUUUAUUAUUUAUAUUUGAUUAUAUAGUUAUUUUAUUUGUUUUAAUUAAAAAAUAAAUAAUAAAUAAACAUGAUAAAAGCUAAAUAUAUUAUCAUAAAUAUUAGAAAUUAUAACCUUUUACUUGGUUUUGGUAACAUUCCAAAAUAACGUGUAAAACUUUAUAAAUAAUAUUUUUACUGCUUGAACUUAUAUUUCAAGGUACUUGUUUGAAAUUUAUGGCCGCUUCACUGACCAUCUUGAUACCGUUUUUAGUUCAGUGACCAAUUUGAUACAUUAAGCCCACUUCAGUGACCAACUAGAUAAUUAAUCCCGUAAAAUAUCUAAAUUUUGAUAUUUUAAAAAUUAUUACAAUCAUAUAUCGAUCAAUCCAAAGUUAAUAUAGUAACAUCAUAAUUCUAAUUCACAUAAACAUCCAAAGUUAAUAUAGUAACAUCAUAAUUCUAGUUCACAUAUACACUAUUAGUAGACCAAUAUUCUAAAUCAUCAGUUGAUGCACGGCUAACUCAUACCAGAGACCUCAAACUAUCAACAUAUCAUUUUGAAAAUAUUAUCAGUGGCAUCAAAAUAAAUAUUUUAUAAGUUUAACAAUAUUUUACGGAUUUUUAACAGACCGUUUUGAAUGAAUACAGUUUGGGAUGCUUAAAAUCAAUUUUUAAGAAACAAGUUAUAUUAAUAACCGUAUAAAAUCAAGCGAUACAAUUUAUUCCCCAGGUAAGACCUAAAAAUCAAUCAUCUAGAGAUACAUGCCCACUGCCACAUGCAACCGAAACAACAAACAUGUGAAAGAAUAAAAAACGUGUUAGACAAAGUUGGUUCGACAAACUGGCAAGAGGCCAACAUAAAAUUUUUUGGCUCAGUCAAACAAUCGUUGUUCUUACCAAACUAGUGAGUUAGUACUAAUACUUUGAAAUCAUGGUGCUUUACAGCUUAGAUUGUUUCACAAACUCUUAAUCAGAGAUUAUACAUCCGAUGCAAAGGUUAUAUUUUUUUUACAAAAUAAAAUAAUGAUUAUAAACUCGGGCACCGAAUCUGAUAUAUUGUAAAUAAUGAGAUAUAUGAUUAACAAACAAAUAAUUAUUCCAACUAAUUGUAUAAGAUAUAUAAAAAUAAGAACAUAAUAUAUAUUAUGUAGAUGAUACAUAAAUAAAUAUAUAUUUAACAGUUAAUAACAGUUACAUGAAACACAAGUUAACUCAUAAUUUAUACUAGCCUUAAACCCGUGCAAAGCACGGGCGGUUAUAUAAUUUAAAACUAAUUAUUAAUUAUUAUAUAAUAUUAAUAUAUAUUAAUAAUAGUAAAUUUUUUUUUUUAUUUUUUAACUAAUUAUAAAUUAUUUUUAAAAGAAUAAUGGUGGAGUUUUUAUCUUGUAGUAUAUCAAACUGCUUAGAGAUGUAAGCCUAUGAGAACUCUACAUGUAGUGACUUUUAGUUAUAAGGUGAAUCACUAAACCAACAUCACCAGACCAAAAUUUUGUACGACGACAAAUUAUACCCACGUUGGCUAGUAUAGAUAGUAUAGAUAGAUUACAAUCACUAUAAAUUAAUAAUAACUAUCCUGGUUAGAAUUAACGAUCAUGAUUUUAGAAAAAUUAUCGAUUCGGUCUUUUUUUAAUUUACGCAAAUCAUGGUGUAAACUAGAUUUCUGAAUUAUUAUUCACACACCACACAUGUAAGAAUGCACAUCAAUUCAACAACAUAUAAUCACCUAACUCAAACUUAAACAAAUACUAAUUUAUAAAUAUAAACUUUGAAACAAGUCUCUUAGUUUAAAGAAAACGAGUAAACUUAUACACUUCAGCUGUCUAUCGUUUAGUUACCUGGGGCUGGUGACAACAAGACUUGUCAAAAUCUUGUUUGGCUAAAUGGUGUCUUUACUGUAUUAUUAUCUCAGUACAAUAACAAUUGUGCAGGAUCUUGUUUUUAUUUUUGUACAAAUUAGGUAGGACUUAGGAGUAUUAGAUAGCUCUGUCAACAUGUGCUGAUGAGAAGAUUAAACUUCCGAGGGGCUACCUACUCCGCAAUUGGGUUAAGACCGUGACUUCGUUUAGUAUUGUCAUUGAAGUUACCGUAAAAUUAACUAGUCCGAACAAAUACUUUUACCAAAAGAUAUAAAAAAAUAUGUACAACUGGAAAAGCAAUAUGUACAAAUAAAAAGGCCCGCUUCAGACUUGUAGAUCAUGGAUUUUCUAGACAUAGUCGACCAUUUUUAGAUAGGGAUAUAUUUUGUUGGUUAGAUUUAUUAGAUCAAUAAUAAAAUAUAGACAAUGUCAUGAAAAUGUCACACAAGACUUAUAAUAAAUUUUACUUCAUCAAUUAUCAUAUUAAAAUAAUAUAUUUUAUCAUAACAAUUUAAAAUAAUGACAUGCUAAAAAUAUAGUCAAUUAAUAUAGUCAUUACUAUCAGAACAAAAUGUAUUAUAAAUUUAGUAAUUUUUUACAUAAUGUCUUAGAGCAUCUGCACUAACGUUGACUAUAAUCGUGGAGUAAAUUGGACUUGUAAGAGUAUGUUAUUAAUAUUUUAAUUGUUAUAAAUGGAAUAUAUUACGUUACUAUGAUAAUAAAUGGUAUGUAAUUUUCCUACAUAUUUUUUACAUAUUUAGAGAUUCGAUAAAUAUAGUCAUUUAUAUAAGUUUGACUAUAUUUAUAGAUUAGAUGAGGGAAUGGUUAGAGUGUGAUAUUUAUAAUAGAUUAUUUAUAGUUUUUUAUUUUUGAUUUUUUUAUUGUGUGCCUAUGAGCACACAAUAAGCAUAAAAAUUGAUAAAUUUAUCAUAUUUUAAUUGACUUACACUCUUUAAAAAUGAUGGAUCUCUUUGCAUUCACAACAACAUCAAUCAAAUAAUAAUCUUUCUUAAAGUUCUCUUAAUUUUAAUUUCAUUUGUGGCAAAUAUUUAUAUUGAUGAUUAAAAUUUAAAAGGGACUACAUUUUUUAGGGCACAGCAGCACAGUCCAACGGGCAAUUGGGUCGCUAGAACCGUGUUACCCGUGAAACAUGCCCUUACUGUCCUAAAGUUGGAUUUAUCCAUAUUUUGCACCUGUUUUUGGUAAAUGUGGACCAUCUUGUAACUGUUGCCACAUUCAUUUCUUUCUGUCCCUUGUUAUGUUCAAACACCCUUUAUUUACUUUAUUUAUACUUAGGAAUUCUAAACAGCCUUUCUGUUGAAUAUGCUCUUCAGUCCUUUUCUAUUUAUCAACCUUCAUUUUCUGAUUUUCUCAGCACCCCUUGAUGUUUUUUCAGUAAAAUUUUAGUCUUUUGGUUCUAAUCGUAAAUUUAAGCACUUUUGUCAUCCGGGUUUAUCCAGUUCUUGAAUUUUAGCAUUUUACAGAGAAGAAAGAUUGGGGUUUUGUGUUAAAAAUUCAAACUUUUUGCCCUUUUCUUGAUUUUAGAUACUUUAGUUUACUGGGUUUUAUUCAGUUCUUGAAUUUGGAUUAUUUGUAAACAUAAAUCUUGAUCUGGGAAUUUUUGAACUGCAAAAAAUGGGAGGUUGUUUCAGCAAGAAAGAUAAUCAAGCAGCUGCUAAUGGGCAUAGAUCAGGGGCCACUGCAUAUCAUACAGUUACUGCCCAGAGCUAUGAAAAGUCAUCUCAAAGGCCUCAACAGACUCAGACUCAGCCUCAGCCUCAGCAGCCUCAGGUUCGGCAUACAAGUCCACCAAAACCAAGGCAAGUUGUUAAAUCAGACCCAAACACUAUUCUAGGCAAGCCAUUUGAAGACAUUAGAGCUACUUAUACUCUUGGUAAAGAAUUGGGUAGGGGUCAAUUUGGUUGUGUCUAUCUUUGUACUGAAAAUUCAACUGGUCAUUUAUAUGCUUGUAAGUCUAUUUUGAAAAGAAAGCUUGUUAGCAAGAAUGAUAAGGAGGAUAUGAAGAGGGAGAUUCAGAUUAUGCAGCAUUUGAGUGGGCAACCUAAUAUUGUGGAAUUUAAGGGUGCUUAUGAGGAUAGACAAUCUGUGCAUCUUGUGAUGGAGCUUUGUGCUGGUGGGGAGUUGUUUGAUAGGAUUAUAGCCCAGGGACAUUACUCAGAGAGAGCGGCUGCUACGAUCUGUAGGCAAAUUGUGAAUGUUGUCAAUGUUUGUCAUUUUAUGGGAGUGAUGCAUAGGGAUCUCAAGCCGGAAAAUUUCUUGCUUUCUGGUAAAGAUAAGAACGCCAUGUUGAAGACUACUGACUUUGGGCUGUCUAUCUUUAUUGAAGAAGGUAAUAUAUCAUCCUUGUGUGUGUUCUUAUUAGUGUACUUACUUUGAUUACCUGCCUGACCUUGUCUAAUUAUUGUCAUUGUAAAGUCCAUCUAACGACAUAAUUUUCGUUCUUGCAAUAAUCAUUUUCUGGAAUAGGCUCUGGGAAAAGUUUAUUGAUUGCAUAAUGUGGCAUGUCAAUUACACUUAUCAUUUCUGCAAUCUACUUAUGUUUAUAACAAAUAUUGUUAAAAGCCUACCAAUUAGCAAAUUCCCAUAUUGGCAUCUAUAUUAUUCCCUAUAAGAUAGUUGGCGAGUUAUCCCUUGAGAUGUAACCCAUUGAUGGCCCAAGAAGAUUGAUUUCAUUUUGCACAUAUAAGGCAUUAAAUACCUCAAAUGUUCUGGUGGAAAUUAUUUCUUGACAAGUGUUGGACUACUUACAUUAUGUUUACAGUCGAUUAAAUUUUUUGUUAUGCUGAUCAUGUAUGGAGCAUUCCAAGAUGCCAAAAUUUGAAAACUGACACACAGGUGGACACAUUUCCUCCACUGGGACUCGAAUUCUCAACCUUUGGUCAUCAGGAUGAGGGAUAUUCGCUUGGCCACCAACCCUUUCAGAUAUUCCUUUUUGUAUCAUGUCGAUUGGCUCAAUAAUUCUAGCAUGAAAUCUCUUUAAAUUAUUAAUGCUCAUGCAGUUAGUAAGGGUACGGCAAUUUCAUGCUCUUAAGCACUAUAAAUCCUCUUCUUUUUUUUCUUUUUUUCUUUUUUGACAAAUAUGGCUUAUAGCCUUACAAAUGAGUAUCUGUUCUACGAAACUCUCGGGGUGAGCCAGGAUCGAACCCAGGACGACAAAGGAUAAGCUCUUAACCAUUGAGCUAUCCAACCGUGCUCAUAAAUCCUCUUUUAAAGGAAAUAGAAUGAAGGAAUCUGGUCAAUUGUGCAUUUGUAUGCUCUCUGGACUGUGCAUGCAAUGGCAAUGUGCUCAGGAGAGCAAAUCUAUUAGGCUUAAGGUGAAGUUGGAUGCUCAUUCUUUAGGGGCAUAGGUUCUAAAAAACUAAAUUGGAACAGAAGGUUUUGAGCUAUAUUAUGUACAGAGAUCCAGACAUGAAGUCGAUUCUUUCAAUUUUUCUUCUGCUGUUGUAUAUGGGUGUCAAUUUAUUAUAAAGAAAUUUAUAGAAGAAGAAGAUUAUUUACAUCCAGAACUAUUAUAUUAAAUGUUGUGACUUUUACCUAUACUGAUGCGGGGCUCUAGAUAGUUUGAAGUACUAUGAUUCAUAUAGACCACACUUAUUUGUUUGUAUGAUAGAUAUCUUUAUUUUACAAUAGAUAUUUUGCAACCUAAAACAGUAAGGGGUAAUAUUCCUUAACUUUUCCAAUAAGAAAGGACAUCAAGGUGGAGCUAGCAUUUAUCAACAUCAAUAAUCCUUGCAUUCUCGAAUUUUUAUUCUGCCACUAUAUAUUUUUUUCACCAUCAGUCUGAUCAUGGAUAGCUACACAACAAAUAUAUCAUUUCAUACCUCCAUUUUACAAUUUCUUAUUUUUAUUAAUAUAUGUACACGUGGCUUACCGGUUUCUAUUAGUCUUCUACAUGUGUAAUCUUUACAUUUAGUCCCUUUGUAGCCUGACUUAAGAAUAAUUUCUUUUUAUCUUUAUAUGAUUACUAUAUCUUAUAGUAUUGAUCUUAGUGUUUUUUCCAUUUUAGGAAAGGUUUAUCGUAAUAUAGUUGGUAGUGCUUACUAUGUCGCUCCUGAAGUACUACGGCGUAGUUACGGAAAGGAAGUUGAUAUCUGGAGUGCAGGAGUUAUUUUGUAUAUUCUACUCAGUGGCGUACCUCCAUUUUGGGCUGGUAAAUACUACAUAUGCAGUUCUCUAAAAGAUUUCAUUUUCAAGAUUUCUUUUAUGAUGGCACGUGCACAAGAAAAGGAUUUUAAAUUAGCUUGCUUUCUGCAGAAAAUGAAAAAGGAAUAUUUGAUGCAAUACUUGAAGGAGAAAUUGACUUUGAAAGCGAACCAUGGCCAUCAGUCUCAAACAGUGCAAAAGAUCUUGUCAGAAAGAUGCUGACACAGGAUCCAAGGAAAAGAAUUACUUCUGCGCAAGUUCUUGGUAUGUCAUAUCUUUUUUCCGGUAAAUGUAUAAUGAGUUAUUUAGCAAAAAAAUGUAUAAUGAGUUGAGCCUUGACAGUGCCUGGAUGGACCUAUGAUUUUCAUUCAGUGGGGUAUAUAGGAAAACAUAAAAGUAAGAGUAACGAAAUGUAAUCGUAUUCUAAAUAUUUAGGGAAAAAAUAAUGAAAGAAAUUUUUUAACAUACAUAAGUAUAAAUAGGAUAAGUAUAAAUUUAUUGAUUGCUAACCUCCGAGUUGAUGGCUUCUAAUUAGUAUCUAUUUAUUAUUAUUUUUGGAUAAGGUCGAAACCAGAGAAAACAGGACAGAAUUUAACAGUCAGACAAUGUUGUGAAGGAAUGGUGAGAGUCAAUUUUGUGACUUAAGCUCUAUCUCAGAAUAUAGUUCUUAGCCACUGUUUUUCUCGUUAUUGAUUUUCUAAUGAUAUUAUUCAAGUCUGCUGUUUAUGUCAUGUGUCUUGGUGCACUUGGUGUGGGGUGAAUAAUUGAGCUGUGCGCCUAUAACGAGAAUGGACUGCUGAUACAUUGUGUUUAGCCUCCAGGUCACAAAUUUCCUAUAUGACCAUUCAGAUGAGCUAAACAGAACUAAAAAGAUCUCACUGUUCAGUAACAUCUUUUGUAGACUUAAUAAGGGGUAAUUUAAUGAAUUUUAGUCCUGUAACCUGCUCACUACGUUAUAUUAUUUGAAUCAAGGAUUAGUUGAAGAUUCACAUAUGCAACCAUCUGCUGUCCUCAAAUCCAAUACAGAAAUUUAAGAGAGUAUUCACUUAGUGGCAUGGUGUAUCAUGAAUCAGUUUUUGCUACUUGAUGUUUCAAUAAUGACUGAAGUAUUUAUUAUAAUAUUAGAAUAAGUUUCCUGUAUCUGCUUUGCUAGCUGUUCUUUUUCUUAAUGUUGCUUAUAUUUUUCUUUCAAAUAGAACAUCCAUGGAUUAGAGAAGGCGGAGAAGCAUCAGACAAGCCAAUAGAUAGUGCAGUCCUCUCCAGAAUGAAACAAUUCAGAGCAAUGAACAAGCUCAAACAACUCGCACUUAAGGUAGCUUUCACAUACUCCUAUGUUUAGUUUUUUAAAUGUUUUCUAAUGUUAUGUUCUGUUUUAAGCUUUUAGCUGGACCUUGCUAGUAUCUUCUGCAAUCUAUUGAACUUCCUUUCCUCUGUGUCAUGUUUGCUUCUGCAUUACACUUGCAAGACCUAAACAUAGCCUUGUACAUAUUUGUGCUUGUCUAUGCUUAACAAAACAGAGCGUGAAUUUUUGUUUAAAUAAGCACGACUUUACAGAUGUUUUUUGUUAUUUAGUGCUAGCAAGAGAGGUUCAAUCCCCAAAAGGAAUGUAACAUUGUAUAAUUUUAGUUGAAUGUAAAUUUGUAUACAGGUCAUUGCUGAAAGUCUGUCUGAGGAAGAAAUUAAAGGUCUUAAAGCAAUGUUCACAAACAUGGACACAGACAGAAGUGGUACAAUUACAUAUGAGGAAUUGAAGUCAGGACUGGCACGGCUAGGCUCAAAGCUAUCAGAAGUGGAAGUCAAACAACUGAUGGAGGCUGUAAGUUUUGUGCAUUUAGUGAUUAACAGGUCUUUCGACCUAUUUUCUUAUUAUGUAUUAGAUCUAAUAAUUAGUUUUCUCUGCAUCUCAGGCUGAUGUAGAUGGAAAUGGCACAAUUGACUACCUUGAAUUUAUUACUGCUACUAUGCACAGACACAAGCUUGAAAGCUAUGAGCAUUUAUACAAAGCAUUUCAGUAUUUUGACAAGGAUAGUAGUGGGUAAGUUUAGUCUUCUCAUGAUGUCCUGAAAUUAUUAAAGUUUUUCCUUUGUAUACUUUACCAUUAAAUGUGAUAAGCAUUGGCAUCAACUUUAAUGAAUAGCUAGGACAUAAUAGUUGACAAUAUGAUCUAAUUACAUAACUCCCAUUUAGUACAUGAACUAAAAGUCCAGGAGGAAAUCAAAGCUUGUCAUCAAUAUUGGUAUAUUGUCAUUUUCACCCGAUGUUGCACAAAUUGAUCAACUCAAUUACUAGCCACGAUGUUUCAACCUUUUUGUUCAAGUACAUGCUUGGAAGCCUUAACUUGAUUAUAUGUGAUUUUGGUAAUAGUUUCAUUACGAGAGAUGAACUUGAAUCUGCAAUGAAGGAGUAUGGAAUGGGUGAUGAUGCUACAAUCAAAGAUAUAAUCUCAGAAGUGGAUACCGAUAAUGUAAGUUGGUUUGAGUUUCACUUCUUUAUAAUUUUUGUAUGAAAUUAUGUUAUCAAUAAUAAAUUUCUUUCUACAUGUAGGAUGGAAGAAUUAAUUAUGAUGAGUUCUGUACAAUGAUGAGAAGCGGGGCAAAACAGCAAACCAAGCUUUUUUAAUGUCUCGCCAAUCUGUUAGCUUCGAACGCCGUUCUCCUCAUUCUCACUUGCAAUCUACUGAUUACUAGCAAACAGCAAAAGACAAGGCAAAUAUACAGCUAUAGGUAUGAGGUUUCCUGCUGUUAAUAUCUAAAUGUUGACUACAAAGAGACGGGUGAUAAAAGUUGAUGAGUCUUUUUGCUUGAGUUAUAACGUGAUUGUUUAUAUAUCAAUUUCAAGACCUGAUUUCCUUCUGCUGUGUACAUUUCAAAUUUUUUGACCAACAGUUGUUAAGCAAGAGGUCCGUCCGUGUAUGAGAAAUGUGAAAAUUGUUUUAAUGGUUGACAAAAGCAGUUGUAUGAGGUAUUUAAUGUUGAUAUAUGACAUUAUAUUUGCUAUAUUGGUAGAGCAAGUAUCAUGAUAGCUUUAAUGUUUCUUUUAGGUUUGCAUUAAAAUUCUCUCUACUCUUUGCAGUACCUCCUCCUUAGAUCAUUAUGACCCAUUCUUGCUAUAGCUUUUCGUAUCCUUUCAUCGAAACAUGGCAUAUCUAUUGCUUUACAAAUCUUGCAUCCGGAAGAUAACUGUCUUCAUCUUCUAUGAGUUUUAGCUUUUGCUCUCAUUUUAAACUGAUUCAAGUUUUCUUUUAAUCAUAUACAAGAAGUCGUAUAUUUAAAUUGCUAUUCAGAAACUAAAACUGGUUUCUGGACACUAGCAAGAUACAUGCUACUCUACUGUUUAUAGAAGAUUAUACUGUACAAGUUACAUAGGCCAUCUGGGAAGCACUCUCAUAGUAAGAGAAAGUUUAGUCAGAAAAUUGAAGAGAAAAAAUUGUAGAACAUAGUGAAGAUUGCAAAUGCAGGUUUGCCUCUCAAACAUCUGAGCCUUGAAAAGGGUCGAGUCCACUUGAUUAACAUGGAUGAGACUUAACUUUAUAAUGAAAAAUUAUUGGAAGAAUAAACACAGGCAAGAUGAUCAAAUUGAAGAGAAACAUGCUGCUAGAGGAUUGGAUUAAAUCAUCCAGAAGGCUUGAUGACAGUUGUUUGUGUUGGACAAAACAGAAAACAUAAGAAUAUAAGAGCCUAGGAUCAAGUGAUAAGAACUUGAUCAUUACUAAACUGGACGGAAGAAUUUGAACCCUAGCCAGUAGACAGGCCAUUAGAGGAUUGAUCAAAUUUUAAUGCAGAAAAUUCCCCAAAAGUUGUCCUGUCAGAGCAAUAGAAAAAGAUAAUCCUUCUCAUAAUUUGGAUUUCUCCGGACUUUAAUAACUUAUCAUCGGUGUUCUAAAGAUCUGAAAAUUUCUGAUUACUUCUUAAAAAAUAUUGAUUUACUGAUUACACUCUAAUUUGACUAAAAAUUUCUGAUUUAUCGAAAAAAUUCCGAUUAAUCCUGAACUGACAGGUCAACAGAUUAGUUCAUAUUUCCGAUUUCUACGAUCAUGAUUACCAUUCACUCCUAUAUGAAUUUAGAAAAUACUGAACAAAAGCUCUUGCCAAAUAAAUACUUCUCAUCAUCCGGUUUCUCAGGCAAGCUGAUUAUAUAAAGAACGCAUCUUAAAAUGGUUUAAACACGCACAUUUCUGUUUAUUCAACGCUGAAAUCAUUAACUAAACAAGUGAAGCUCACAUUGAGCUCAGCCAAGACACUCUUUAUGACCGAAGACUUAAGAGUACUUGAGAUCUCCCUCUCUAAGAGCAUCUCCAAGAGGUUCUUUAUUUAGGCUCCUAACUUGAGAUUUGAGGAGGGAGAAGCAAAAUGUUGCUCCAAGAGACUCUUAAGUGGCUUUUAAAUCUUAAGAGCCUUUUGUUUGUCUCUCCUCUCUCCUCAAAGUUAAGAGCCACCACAUGGCUCCUAACUUAUUUUUUUACAAUAAAAAAAUAUUUCCCUCCAAUCAACCUCCAUCUUUCCUUCUCUUUUGUUAUAGUGGAGCCCAAUAUAUGAAUAAAAUAUGAAAUAGAGAAGAGAUGUAGAGAGUAUUGUUGGAGUUUACACUCUUAACUUUGUCCUAAAUUACUAAGAGCCACAUUUUUUAUAUUAUAUUUAGGAGCCAACAAGGAGGCUCUUGGAGAUGCUCUAAAGACUAAUUCACAGACACGUGCUCUUAUUCUUCCAGAUCUGUAAAGCAGUGAUGCUGCAUAGAAAUAAGAGCAAUUCUGUAACAGAAUACUAUAUUUCCAUAAAAGAUUAUCUACACUGUUACUCGUAUAUUAUUUCUCAAACAAGGUCCCUGUUUUUCUUUAAAAGAAUUGCUUAUGAAAUAAAGGACACCUUACAAGAGCAUCUCCAACCAUCGUAAAACCUUAGCUAAAAGGUGAGUUGGCAGGCUAAAAAUAAAAAAAUUUAGCCAACAGCUCGAAAAACUCAACUCCAACUAUAUUCAUAUGUUGUCUAUAAUUUUAGCCAACUUUCUAUGGAUGACCAAAUUUGUCGAACCUCUACAGUUCUGUAAGAAAUAUGUAGGAAGAUUGCACAUCAUUUAUUACCAUACUAAAUUGAUAUAUUUUAUUUUAACAAUCUAAAAUAUCAAUAACAUAUUAUUUUUAAAUUAUAGCCAACCAAUAUAGCCAGUAUCAUUGAAGUAAAAUGUCUUACAGGUUCAACAAAUUUUACAUAAUGUCUUACGGGUCUCAUUUAGCCAACCAUUAUAAUCAUCGGCGUUGGAGAAGCUAUGAGAGGAGAGAAUUUUUUCACCUCAGUUUAGAUGUACUAUUUGGGUAAUUUUACUCGAAAUAAAAUAUAUAUUUCAAUUAGUUAUGCACAAAAACAAUUUUUUUUAAGGAAGCUUAUCAAAAUACUUGUUUUUCAAAAAAGAUAUUAUAAUUACAUAUAAAUUGAGGUGCAAUGCUUGCCAACAACUAUAAUUGAAAUCCCACCGUAUUUUUAUUAAAAUUGUGUAUUUUUGAAUUUUCUUCCUAUUUUAAAACUUUUAUUAACAGGAACAUAAUGGGAUCAGGAGGUGAGCAACACUGUUAAGAGGUAGGUAGUAAAUAACACCGAAACAUUUGGUCGCAAAUAUCUUAUAAAAAUCUCCCUAUUUUACAAUUUUGGUAAUAGAAAAUGUACAAUUUCGGUAGCAAGAUGCAUUAUUUAUGAAUUAUUAAUGGACUACUAUUGUGCAGUGUGUAGCAGUGCAGGCUUUCAACUUGAUUGCUUGUCAUGUUGUAUUCAACAGUUUCAGAAAACCAAAACAACAAGGUCCAUCUCCUAAUUCAGAAAGAAGGUCCCUCUUUUGUCUGUACAUCAUUAUUAUGAAUCGGUACCUACCAGCAUUAUGUUAUUGUAACGUAUGCUUUCGGGCUAUGGAUAAAGUCAAAUUAGAUUAUGUAUGGGAAUCUUAUCUCUACUCCAUGGCUCAUCUUUUUCGGUGGCUCCCAGUUUUUAAUUUUUCCAUCAACCUCAGUCUAAGAGUGUACACUAGGAAGAUGUUUUAUGGUGAACUAUCAGUCUUUCAGUAUGAUCGAUUACAGAAAUUUAAAUAUUUUUGUACGAAUUUUGUGGUUCGAUCUCGAAAAAUUAGUUGCAAUAAAACAUUCAUUAUAAAGAAAAAGCAAUGCAUUACACCCAUCAUCACCAUCUGUACAUACAUCUUAACAUUCACAGUACUCAUAACAGAUCAAGCAAACAAGAAGGGAAAUCUACAUUAAAACAACAGAGCUAGCCCAGAGACAUCCAAGGCUUAGAAAAGCAUAGCAAAAGCCAAAUAGAAACAGCCAAUUUAUUUUGUCACCAUCUUGGAUUACCAUGCACACAUGGCAGGCAAAAGUAGAGGUUUUGGCUUCUUUUCAUAUACAAAGCUCAUAUGCUAGCAACACUUGCUUAGCUAAGACUACAUUCAAUGAUGCUUGUUAGCAACAUUGCAUUGCAACCUAAUCUCACCCUCAGUGCCAGUGAGAGGAUUGUUCUCAGUGAGCUUAGUGAUGGCUCUUGAGUACUCCUUGAAGAAAUAAUCUUGGCUCUUGGCCAUUUUCUUGACAUAUGGCUUGGUCCUCUUGUCUGUGGCUAGUUGAUGAUCCACUAUCAAGAGUCCCUUGUUGUCCAAUAUGUUUCUGUAGUAGUUGUUGUCUAGAAUCAUGGGGGUGCCUCUGUCAUUUCUCACAUAUUGCACUGCCUUUGGGUCUGGGAUCUGGUCAGGGCACUUGUGAAGCAUGUGCUCAACAUGACCAGGGUUCAAGGCUGGGUCAACCUCAGGGUAUAAUCUGUGCACCAGCUUCACACAAUGGGUUCUGCCAACACUGUGAGAUCCUGUAAACAAGAUAACCACCAAAUGAAUACAACCUUUAAAGAUCUACACACACAUAUACUGUCUAGGCUCGAGUCCCGACUGAACUUUAAAAAUUUAGUAAAUUCUGGAGAUUUAAUAUAUUGUACCUAGCAAGGCAACAAGUCCAGGGGUGUCAAUUCCCAUGGCAGCAAACCUUUCAAGAACAACAGUCAUGCUUUCAUUGUGGUCAGGGAGGUAUUGCUCUAGUAUAUCUGCUCUACUUUUUCUACCAUCUCUUCUUCCUGUUUUAAGAGGGAUGUGUGGGCCUCCAAGCUGCAAAACAGUCAUCUUAUUAGCAUUUAUAUAAACAAGAUAAGAAAGUCAUGUCACAGUCCACAUCUGAUUCAACUACACACCAAAGGUGCAACAAUCAGGUUGCAGAAAAUAGAGAAACCAGGUUAAACAGUUGGAUCUUGUGAUCUAUCAACACUGAAUAGUGUAAAAAUGGGAAUAUUUCUUGAAAAGGGAGAAAAGGGCAGGUGACUCACAGCAACAAUUCCAUCUCUACCAGAUAAAACAAGGAUAUCAGCACAGGAAACCACUCCGGGGCACUCUCUCUCCACAGCUUCUUUAAUAGUCUCAAUAUAUCUGAAGUUUCUGAGGCCAAAGCUCCUGUCUGUUUCUUUCUCAGAAAGAGUCCUCCUUGUUGAGUCCAGCAACAAUGAAGCAUCACAUCUCUGAAACAACAACAUAACAC
rnacentral:lncRNA from 1 species